rnacentral:lncRNA from 1 species
UCCACUCACAAAGUUUCAACAAUAGAAAAUUCAAAGAACUUAGCGAAGAAGGCUUUAGUGUAUUUAACACAAUACGUCGAAAUGAAGGAAAGCUUAUUUAUUGAUAUCUCCGAUAAGCUACAAAUACGUACAUAUACAUAAGUCAAAAUAAACAAACAAGAGGGAGCCUUCACAAAGGUUGCUUAGGAGAAGUCUCAGCAGUCGGUAGAGCCCCAGAAAGAGAAGGCACCGGAGGGGGAUCAUUCGGAGCCUCAGUACUGGACAGAACCCUAGAAGGAGGAGGCAUCAGAGGUUGAUCAUUUGGAGCUUCAUUACGCGGUACAGCCCCAGAAGACGAAGGCAAUAAAUGCCUUUGGAACAAACCCACAAAUCUCUGAUGAUCAAGUAAAACCUGACCAUCAGAUUCCUUCAUCUGGUCAAGCUUCCUCUUCAUGUUUGUAGCAUAGUCAUGUGCGAGCCGGUGCAACUGUUUAUUCUCAUGCUUGAGCCCUCUAAUCUCCUGUUUGAGACUCAUCACUUCAGCCGCCAAUGAUUCAACUUGGCGGGUUCGAGCAAAUAGGCGCUGGGCCAUAUUAGACACAGAACCUGCACACUGAACACUAAGAGCCAGAGAAUCCUUAACAGCUAACUCAUCAGACCGUUUGGAAAGUAGUCUGUUAUCUUUGGGAGUGAGAAGGUUCCUGGCCACCACUGCAGCGGUCAUAUCAUUUUUCAUCACGGAAUCCCCAACGGUAAGAGGACCAGUAGGGGAGACGAAGGAUGGGUGCCAUAUGUUGUCUGGAGAAGGUGGGGCUGCCUCUUCAACAGGGUUCAAGUCAAAACGACGGUCGGAGGGGAUUCAAGUGUGCUUUGGAACUUAAUGCCAGCCCCUAUAAAAACCUGCACUCUACGGAGCUUCAGAAAUCGAAGAUGCGCCUGCUCAGAAAUCGAAGAGGCGUUUGCUUUCUCAAAAGCUAGGCUGCUCAGAGACCACGAGGGUCGAUCUCAGAAAUCGAAGAGGCGUUUGCUUUCUCAAAAGUUGGGCUGCUUAAAGACUACGAAGGCCGAUCUCAGAAAUCGAAAGGCGCUUGCUUUCUCAAAAGAUGGGAUGCUGACCACGAGGGCCAAUCUUAGCAAUCGAAGGGGCACCUACUUUUCCAGCCUUGUCAACAUCUGUCACACGCACACUCAGCUAUGCGGAAAUUGUGGGCAUUCUGUCGAAGACUUCUGGUGAAGUAGACAGCAACAGUAGCUCAUGGGUACCAUAGAUAACUUUGCCAAAGUUCUCUGCCAAAGUUGAGCACGUGAAGCUUGCAGCUCCCACUACAUCGCUCUGAUCAAGAAGGGUAAAAGAAUAGCAAAGAAACAGCACUAACAAAGUUUAGACACAUAAAUUUUAAAGGUCUAGCUACCAUAUUAUUACCCAUAAGGGUAAAGGAACAGUACCACAGCUGGAUAAUUAGAAAGUCCCUGUGUGUCAACCUCUGUGCUUCGUGGCACGGUAGACUAGCAAACAUGCCUAACCUUUACUCACAUUCGAGAAAACACUCCCAACAAGAUUGCUUGCUCCAAAAUCAAAGAUGCACCGUCCUCCGAAUCUCGAGAGCCAGACUCCCAACAUGACUACUUUCUCAAAAAUCGAAGAGAGGGUAAAGGAACAGUACCAUUGCUGGAUAAUUGGAAAGUCCCUGUGUGUUAACCUCUGUGCUUCGUGGCAAGGUAGACUAGCAAACAUACCCAACCUUUACUCACAUUCGAGAAAACACUCCCAACAAGAUUGCUUGCUCCAAAAUCGAAGAGGCACUGCCUUCCGCAUCUCGAGAGCCAGACUCCCAACAUGAUUACUUUCUCAAACAUCGAAGAGACACCGCUCUCCGAAUCUCGAGAGCCAGAUCCCCAUCAGGAUUGCUUUCUCAAAAAUCGAAGAGGCAUCGUCUCCAAAUCUCGAGAGCCAGAUCCCCGAUAGGAUUGCUUGUUCGAAAACCGAAGAGGCAGCACUUCCCCAACUUCAAGAGCCGGAUCUCCUUGGAUAAAGCUGUCUGUAAUCGUCACACGCAACAUCAGCUUUCCAGAUACCACAGACCACUUUUUCAAAGUGCUCUGACAGAGUUAAAACAUGUGAAGCUGGCAGCUCCCACUACCGUGCUAUGACCAAGCAAGGUAAAGGAAUAGCAUUACUACUUGCUGUUAAGGAGACUCCUAUAUAUGUCGACCUCCAUUCCCAACGGACAGACAGAUCUGCAAAAAUGCUCAACCCUUCUUCAUAUCUGAAAGGGCACUCCCAACGAAGCCUUUCGAAAUAUUCAGCUUUCUUUCUCCCCGAUAUCAUGCUUUUUCCCUGUCUUUUCCUUUGGCCUUGUUCUUACCUGCAAGACAAGGAGAAAGAGAGCAAUCAGUCAGCACUUGGAAUCAAGCUUCCAGCCAGGAACUGACUGCCUGGAACUUACUUGGCAUUGCUCUCGAGUACUCAUCUUCAACAUCUUAUGCUUCCAGGGAAGAUACGCAUCUGCCUGAGGAACAAAUAAGGCAAGUGAGAAGGAUACAAAAAAGCAGGUAGAGACAAGCGUAACAGCACACGUGCCGAUACAUCCAUUACUCUGUCAAAGCAAAAGUAUCCCAUAUCAGCAGGGUCGAACGUACUCUAGAUUUGAUGGACUUGUUUUGACCCUCAAAUUCUUCAGUCGGCCUUAUACUUUGGAGGAAACCAGAAAACCCUCCAGCCCAGUUCAAGAAUAAGCCUGUGGAAAGUUACUUCUUCAAAAGCAAAAGUAUCCCAUAUCAUAUCUUCUCAUUUUUCUUCUCUUUAUCCUUCAUGCUGCCUGCAAGAUAGGGAGAAUGUGAACAAUCAGCCGGAGCUCUGAUUGCUUACCUUGUCUGUCACCUCUUUCAGCAGAUCCCCUAGCUCGGCGACUUGGGGGGCUCCUACUACAUGGUUUGUAUCACGCUUGACCAAGUUUAAAACUAAAAGUAAGCUUCAAGUGAAAUUGAUACAUUACCUUGUGCAUCUCCACCAGUUAAAGAUACCACCCCUGGAUGGAGGAAGAGUACUUCCAGAGAAGAUGCCACAUCUACCUAUGAGACAGAUAAGGCAAGUCAAGACGAUACCACACUCCGAUACUUAGAAGUUUCGUGAUUACGAGAUCAUUCUCCCACAAUAUUUCCUAAUGUCAUUUGUACUAAAUCAUUCACCUGUACUCACUAAAGGAGAGCUUGAAUCUAUGUACUUGUGUAAACCCUUCACAAUUAAUGAGAACUCCUCUAUUUCGUGGAUGUAGCCAAUCUGGGUGAACCACGUACAUCUUGUGUUUGCUUUCCUAUCUCUAUCUAUUUAUAUACUUAUCCACACUAAUGACCAGAGCAAUCUAGUGAAGAUCACGAAAAGCGACCGUUUUCGCUACCUAGGAUCUAUCGUGCAAGAGAACAGAGAAUUAGAUGGAGAUCUCAACCAUAGAAUACAAGCUGGAUGGAUGAAGUGUAAGAGUGCAUCCGGCGUGUUGUGUGACCGUCGUAGGCCACUGAAGCUCAAGGGAAAAUUUUAUAGGACGGCAAUAAGGCUAUGUGACUACGAGACAGAGGUUUAGGGCCGAAGGGGUAGAGGAAGACCUAGGAAAACUUUGGAAGAGACUCUAAGAAAAGACUUAGAGUACUUGGAUCUAACGGAGGACAGGACACAAAACCGAGCGCAAUGGCGUUCUAGGAUUCAUAUAGCCGACCCCACUUAGUGGGAAAAGGCUUUGUUGUUGUUGUUGUUGUAAGGUUUCAUAGCAGGUUUACGAAGCAUAGAAGGGAAACUGCAGUAAACAGAAAACAAAACAGACUUGAGAGGAAUUAGUUUUGACUGCAGAUCAGUUUCAGCGUGAGGGAAUGAGAAGGAAUAGUAGUUGGAUUGCUCUUACCUUUGUUUCACACUCCUCAGAGUUUUCUUUCAGUCUGAAUGAAUGUAGCAUUUUCAUUUUAGCUUUUGAUAAGUUCAUAACAAUGGUAAGUCAUCCAUCAGCAAUAUCCAACUUCAUCUCAGCCUGAACACGGAGAUCCUACACAAGAUCCAUGAGACUAGGAAUGCAUUUUGCUUACCUAAAAUGAACAUAAUAAGAAAGUUCAGAUACGUACCCAUUCCAGAAUGCAGGACAAUGCAUAUAUGAGCUGCAUUUAUCACUUUGUUACAUACAUGCACUAAUUGAACCAAUAGAAUGCAAACUGGAACUGAUAGACAUAGCAUUAUCAGCGACAAUAAUCCUUUCCUAACAAUCAGUCAAACAUGCACAAUAUGCAGGUCGCUAGUCAGUAAUUCCAAAAGAUCUGAUUCCCCCGGUAUGUUUUUUUCAAAUAUACUGAAAUUAACUUCCUAUAAGUCCAUUCCCUUUGCCUCUGGAACUCCAAAAAUGCCUCUGAGCUUGCAUGAAAGUCUCCUUUUCCCAAAACUUCAAACACAAAUGGAUCCGUUAAUACCAAUGGGGAAUCAUCCAGAUUCAUUUUAUUGAGGGAAAAAUACAAAUUCCGUCCUAGUCUUCUAUCCAAGUAUGCAACAACAACACAGCCGCAAUGUUGAAUGGUAAUCUUGCUUCUAGAAAAGUGGCCGGUGCAUGCAUUGAAAAUGCUAGACAAUUGUAGCAUGAGAAUGGCAUGUGUUCAUUGUGUCCAUAAGCAAAGUCCAUGGUGGUGGGCUACUUUAGUAGAGUCAUGAAUAAUGGCUAGGAUGAUUUCACACUUGGUAUUCACACUUGGUAUGGUUGGUUAUACUUGCCUAUAAAUAGAGUAUGUUGUUAUGUUUAAGUAUUGAAGUAAGAAAAGAGAAAGAAGAAGAAGUAAGAGAGACAAGAAGGCUCUCUCCCUAAAAAAAGGGAAUUAGUAGAAGAAGCAUCCAUAGCUUCUAAGAGUGUUUGAGUGAUUCCUCUUGUAUUAGUUUGUGAGAAUAAAAGUUUUUUUGGUGUUAUACCUUGAGUGUUCUUUUUCUCUUGCCUAUCAAUUUCCGCUGCGUUACAUUCUUCUUUGGAGAUAAACAUCUCCAAAGUAGUGAAGUCUCUUUAAACCCCAACACGCAAGUCACAAGAUCAGGAACAACUUUCUCAUGUGUCAUGUGUUCAAGGCUAAGAUGGAGAGCCCACAGUAGAGACAUCUUUGAAAAGGCCAGAGCACGGAUAUUAAAUGUAGUAAGAUCGGGGCGGAAACCAGCUUCCACCAUUCUCAAAAAUUCUCUUUGUAAGCUUUUCAUCUUAAAAUUCGCAGCAUAUGAUAACAACAAAAGGUUCCACAGAAGAUUUCCCAAGUUUCUUCUACCUAGACCUUGUUGGUAUUGAAAAGUUUACUAACUCAAUACCAAAAUAUGUGGGUGAUAAGUUUACAAACUCUAUCACACCUCUCACUUUGCACUCUCAAUAAAAUUGGACAAAGAAAUAGAGAAAUGAGGGAAGCUACAAGCUUUGGCAAACAAUGCACUUUGAUGUAUUUAAAAGAGUUUACAAACACACUUCUGAAAAUGGAAUAACAAAUCAGAUUCAUGUUUCUAAAACCUUACGGGCUGCUUAUUUAUACAAGCAGAAAAUGAAGACCACUCAAGUGCUUUUAAUAAACUAAACCAACAACACACACAAACAGCUCAUAUGAACUUUGGACAGUCUAACACACAUAUGCAGCUAUCUUUCCAGCUUGCAAUCAACAUAGUUUCGGCUAGCACACCACAUGGCAGCACACAGCUGCUGUCUUUCAACACACUUUCAGCUGGCACAUGGAGAAAACUUUAGUCUUUGCAGUUGCAGCAAGUGUGAAUACAACCUGUAAAGAAACUAACAGCUAGGAGCUGCCAUUUACAACCUGUUUUGAUUUGAAUUUCCAACACACCUCCUCAAAUCAAAACGCCUUCAUUCCUAGCAUUUCACGUAGCAGCCGGAAUGAUUCAACUGGUAGUGGCUUAAAGAAGAUGUCUGCCACUUGUUCCUUCGUGUGACAAUAGACAAGUUCGAUUGUCUUUUGCUUUACAUGGUCCCUUAGAAAAUGGAACCUGGUAUCAAUGUGCUUGCUCCUUCCAUGUUGAACAGGAUUCUUUGCAAGCUUGAUUGCAGACAUGUUAUCCACAUGAAUCACAGUCGAUUCCACUUGUGGAUGACACACUGACUUCAAUAGAUUUCUUAACCAAAUUGCCUCACACACUGUUGAGGCUACAGCAACAUACUCGGCUUCACAUGAUGACGAAGCAAUAAUUGAUUGCUUCUUUGAAGUCCAUGAGAAAGUUGUUGAUCCUAGAAAAAACACAUAGCCAGUUGUGCUUUUCCUUUCAUCUUGGUCACCUCCCCAGUCACUAUCUGAAUAACCAAAUAAUUUUGCAUCUUCACCAAAAUUAUAAAACAGACCAUAGUUUAGAGUACCUCUUAUGUACCUCAAGAUUCUCUUGACAGCCAGCCAAUGAGACUCCCUUGGUGUUUCCAUGUACCGACUCACGAGUCCAACUCCAAUGGACCACAUAUAUCCUUGUGUACCAUCUACAGUGGUGCCUUUGCUCUCCAUGUAUCACCAACAGGGAAUGAUAGUCGUGCUUGCUUGCCAAGCACACAACCUUCACAUACUUGGCGUGUGGCUUCAAUCUGGGGUAGACCACGAACCAUUCCUCCAUUUGACAGCAACUUUAGGCCAUUGAAAUGAAGAUGGCCAUAUCGAAGAUGCCAUUUCCAUGACUCAUCUUCCAUUACACCAAUGUUGCAACUCCCAAUCUUUGUGUUCAACUUCAACGGGAACAUUCGGUUUUUUGACAUUUGAACACGUGCAAUAAGCUUUCUCCUUGCAUUCCUGAGAAUGAGAAACAUAUCCUCCAUAUGUAUAACAUACCCUUUCUGGAGCAGUUGACCAAUGCUCAGAAUGUUGCUCUUCAUACCUGGUAUGUAGUAGGUAUCGGAGAUGUAUUCUUCUUUACCAUCCUUCUGGAUGAUUUUGAUCUUUCCUUUGCCUUCAACUGGCAACUUUGAGGAGUCACCAAAACUCACAGAUCCAUAAGGCCCAUCUUUGAGUUCGGCAAAAAACUCUUUCUUUCCACACAUGUGGUUGCUUGCACCAGAGUCUAAAUACCAAACAUCUUGUUGGCUACUGAUAUCAUGGUGUGCUAGUAAGACUGUAAGUUCCUCACCAGCAUUUCCAUUUGAUUCUGCCAUGUUGACAUGCUCACCAUUUUUAUAUGAACAUUCAUUUGCAUAAUGUCCAUAUUGCUUGCAAGUGUGACAUUGGAUAUGCGCCUUUCCUCGGGUAGAUCUCCACUCUUAAGAUUGACCUCGAUUUUGUUCAUAGCCUCGACCUCUUCCUCGGGCUCAUCCUCGGUUACGGUUGGAUGAACUCCCACGACGUGAGUGCCCACAACCUUUAUUUGGUUUGUCAAUAUUCAACUUUGACUCCAAAGCUUGCUCUAGCGUUGUGGGGCUUGCAUUCUUCUGAAUGCGUUGCUCGUGAACUAGGAGGGAUCCUAGUAGCUCCUCUGCGCUCAUCGCCUCCAAAUCCUUGGAUUCCUCCAUGGCAGUCACCACAUGCUCAAACUUAGAUGUGAGUGACCGGAGUAUCUUCUCCACAACUCGUACUUCAUCGAGUCUCUCCCCAUUUCUCCUCAUCUGAUUUACUAUCACAAUGAGCCUUGAGUGAUAGUCGGAGAUGCUCUCCCCUUCAUUCAUGUGAGCAGUUUCAAAAUCUGCUCGAAGUGACUGUAAUCUCACUUUCUUGACUCGAUCUACUCCUUUGUAGAUUGUACUGAGUGUGUCUCAUACUUGCUUGCUCGUUGUUGCUUCUGCAACCUUCUCGAACGUUGAAUCUUCUAAUCCUUGAUAGAGAAGAUACAACGCCUUCUGGUCCUUCUUUCGUAAAUCCCUGAGAGUGUUCCUUUGAUCUGCAGUAUAUGUGGCUUCUUGCUCGGUAGUAGGUACAACAUACCCACUACUGACAACUUCCCAUAGCUCUUGUGAUCCAAACAAUGCUUUGAAUUGGAUGCACCAUCUUUCAUAAUUUUCUUUCUUCAAUGUGGGAACUUGGAGUUGCACUAAGUUGGAUGCCAUAACUGCUGCACCUACCAGAAUGGUAUUCUGGCUCUGAUACCAAUUGUUGGUAUUGAAAACUUUACUAACUGAAUACCAAAAUAUGUGGGUGAUAAGUUUACAAACUCUAUCACACCUCUCACUUUACACUCUCAAUAAAAUUGGACAAAGAAAUAGAGAAAUGAGGGAAGCUACAAGCUUUGGCAAACAAUGCACUUUGAUGUAUUUAAAAGAGUUUACAAACACACUUCUGAAAAUGGAAUAACAAAUCAGAUACAUGUUUCUAAAACCUUACGGGCUGCUUAUUUAUACAAGCAGAAAAUGAAGACCACUCAAGUGCUUUUAAUAAACUAAACACAACAACACACACAAACAGCUCAUAUGAACUUUGGACAGUCUAGCACACAUAUGCAGCUAUCUUUCCAGCUUGCAAUCAACAUAGUUUCGGCUAGCACACCACAUGGUAGCACACAGCUGCUGUCUUUCAACACACUUUCAGCUGCCACAUGGAGAAAACUUUAGCCUUUGUAGUUGCAGCAAGUGUGAAUACAACCUGUAAAGAAACUAACAGCUAGCAGCUGCCAUUUACAACCUGUUUUGAUUUGAAUUUCCAACAGACCUACAACCUUCAAAAACUCAGCUAAUUCGUAAAACUUGUUACGUUUCAGAUACGCAAAUGACAUUGCCCGGAUUCCCUCUUCCUCUAUCAGAAACCUAGACCUUUUUAAGGCGGCCAUAAGCAGUCUCCAUCUCAGUAAGGGAACCAAAAAUACUAUAGUAUCUGAUAAAGGCAUUUCCAGUGGCAUAGUCCACCGGGAAACCCAUUGAAAUCAUUUCUUUCAAUGCACCUUCCAUCAAUUCAAGCUGGCCUCCCUUCCCAAAACAAGAGAUAGCUAGCGAGUAAACCUCCGAAAACAAACUCAAAUACCUAGCCCUCAUCUGGCCCAAAAUUUUAUUCACUUUUUCAAAACAUCUCGCAUUUCCAUAAACAUCAAAUAACUGCGAAACAACCUGAAUACUAGGCACAAAAGAAAUAUAUAACAUUUCGUUCCACACUGCUUCCGCUUGAGGAAAAAGGCCAUUGUUGGCAUGGAAUAGCAUCAAAGCAGAUAGGGUGGAGUUGCUGGGCAAAAGACCAUCCGAUUUCAUUUCGAGUAAAAGCUCCUGAGCUACAUGAGGCAACUUUUGUCUACUUAAACUCCGAAUUAUCCGCACGCAAUCUACAUAAGUAGCUUGGCCAUUAAAACACUCAUCCCGCUUCCAUUUUCAGAUUAUCGGUUGUAAGCACAGCCCAAAUAAAAGGAUAUCUCUUUGCACAAAAGUGACAGUAUUUUCUUCGGAUAAUCAAACACUAGAUCAAGAAAUUCAUAAAAUUCACAAACCUGCUAAAACAAAUUACGGGCACUUGUUGAAUCAAAAUUUGAUUAAAAAAUACAAGUCCCAAUUCUACAAAUACGGUAAAAUGUUCAUGAGAGAGAGAGAGAGAGAGAGAGAGAAAACGACCUUGCGUGCUAAGGCUCGAUUUUGUGAAUGGGAUUGAUGGCAGAAAAUAGAUUGGCGUUUUGGUGCCAAUGUGCAACCUUUGAUGAUUUCAGUUAAAACUAGCAAAGAAGUCCGCGCUCUGCUGCGGGUUUGAAACUGUAACCAAAAUUUAACACUCAUUUUUAAAUUAUUUAUAAAUAAAUAAAAGCAACUGAAUCCACAUGAUAUUCAAAUUUUGAGAUGUAUCAGAUAUCAAUUGUUGUCUGUGUCUUUGUGCUUCUCAAUGUAUCAGAUAUCAAUUGUUGUCUGUGUCUUUGUGCUUCUCAUUGUAAGUUCUUUUUGCUAAUUACUCUGAAUUUUUGUAGUUUGAAAUUUGCAAUGAUCAACAAACAUGGGAAAUGCCUAUGUGAUUUUCCAUGAACUAAUGAAUGGUUUGCAAUUAAUUUUACUGAUGCAUAUUCAUAAUUUGGAAUUAGGAAUAACAGUUAAACAGGGCCUUGAAUUACAUCAUCAACCAAUACUUUCUCCUUUUGCUUUCUGUGAAUUUUUUGGUUGCUUGCUGCAAAUGAAUGGAUUUGGAACUUUGAAUUAACAAAUUAAGCAAUUCAAGCAUAUUGCAUACACUUAAAAGGCUUAAGAGUAGAUAUAAGAUUAAUUAAUAUUAAAUCAAAAUAAAUAGAUGUAGCUAUGUAUAUUUUCAGCAAUUUCAGUCCUUCACUCCCAUCAUAGGACUUAAAUCACAUUUAAAAAUAAGAAGUACACAAAGAAAGUUGUACUUUUAGCUUCGUUUACAAAAAGCUCUGUAUACAACUAUGUAUUCCACAUGAAUUUGUGUAAAAGGACUUGCCUCGGGGAUGAAGUACUCUGUCUUCUUACACACACCUAUGCCAAAAUCUCUAUCAGGAAACUUUUCCAACCCUGUAGAAGCCAAUAUAUGAAGGAAAUCAUUCAAUGCAAUUGUAUUAACCUUAUUUUAAGGAUAUGAAAAUGAAUUUUUGUUCACUAAUAAUACAAUAUGUACAACCAUUACCCAAUUCAAAAUUCAUUUCAACUCCCAAAAUUACACAAAAUGUACUAAAAUUUCAAGCAAAGAGAACGAACCAAGAUUCACAAUUCAUUUCAAUUCCCAAACAUGCUCACAGAUUAAUGAACUCUCACUGAAACAACAAAGAACCAAUGAAAUUUUGUGUAACUUAAGAGGAAAAAUUCUUACCUUCAACUAAGUAGAUCCCUAAUUGUUCAGUUACUUUUUCGUACGUACUAUUAUUAUAGCUAGAUUAGCAGUCAUGUUCUCCUAGACCUCGGGUUUACAGAAAUCAUGGCCACCCACCGUUUGAUCUUAAUCCAACAGUAGUAAGGCCAAGUACUGAUGGCACAGUACAUUCUUUCUUCCAAAAUUUUUAGCCUGCUAGAGUGACUCGAAUAAGAGAAACCCUCCAAGUCUGAGAGUACCACAAAAUUAGCAUCAGGUUUUUCCAGCUUCCGUUUUAACGUCACUCUGCCACAGAAAGUAGCUAGUGAAUGGAGUUGAAGCGCACAAGCAACGUGUACUAGCAGCAAAACAGAAGGCCAACCCUAAACCCUACAAUAGGCGGGACUUGCAUUGGAAGCAACUGCGGCAGCAAGCCUCAAGAGGCAACAAUUUUGGCUGCUGACUAAGCAGUUGAGAUGUUUUCUUAGAUUAAGCUGCAACCAUCCGUAAAUGCAGGUUUCAAAUCCAACAAUGCUCAGUUCAUAUCUUAGUUGCUGUUUUAUUUAUGAUUUCUUUUGCUUUUCUCUAAUUUUUAGUUAACCUAGCUUGUUUCAACAAGAUUUAGAACGGUCUUCUAUUUGUUUUAAUUUGUUUAAAUUUUCGUGAAGGCUAGUUACUAGAUGGCCACCUCUUUAACAUAUAUAUAGUCGUUUGUAUAUGUAUAUAGGAAAAAUUAGUAUCCGGUCCCUAGUUUUUACUGUUCAUUGACUAAGACCUUAUUAGUUCUCAAAUUUUGAUUCAAGUCCCUAUCAUUAAUGUGAUAAUGAAUUUACAUGUUUAUUAUAUAAUUUUUUAAUAUAAAAAUUAGUAAUUAAUUUAGGAUUUAAUACUCACACCUCUAUUAAACUUCUAAUUAAUUUUCAAUUCAAAAAUUUCCAAAAUAAUAAAAAAUUAAAUUAAAUUAAGUUUGUACCUAUUACUUUAUAUAUAUAUAUAUAAGAUUCUCAAUUUUUUAAUCUUAAAUGUACCCAUUCAUAUAAUUUUUCAAUUUUUUUAAUCUUAAAUGUACCCAUUCUCAAAUAUAUCAAUUUGUUAUAUGUAAAAUGUACCCUUUUUUUAAUAUAAAAUCCAUUCAAAUUUUUUAAUCCAUGUUUAAACUUAUAUGGGUACAUUCUUUUUCGUUGAUUUUGAGAAUGCAUCCAUGUUUUGGUACAAUAACUUUUUUUGUUAAUUUUGGUUAAUGUACCCAUACAUAUAUGUAUACACACACACACACAAUAUAAUAGAGAGUAUAAUUUAUAUUUUAUUAUUUUUAAUCCCAUAAAAUAUGGGUUUUUAUUUAAAAUCUCAUUAAUAUAAACAAUUACAAACUUCAAUUUUUAAUUUUUAAUUUAAAAAAUAUAGUAACUUACAUUAUUACAUUAAUGUCAGGGACCUCAAUCAAAAACUAAAAACUAACAAUGUUUCAAUCAAAUAAUAUUGAUAGCUAAGGACCGUAUCCAAAGUGUCCCGUGUAUAUAUAUGUACAUCUAUAUAUGUGUGUGUGUGUGUGUGUGCACAUUGUUACGAUUCGCUAACUUUUCUUUUGGAGACAAACAACUCAGACUCGUCUAGAUUUUUUGGGGGCAAGUAAAUUUUGCUAAUUUAGGAAUAACAAGUAGAUGGAAGUUACAACUACAUGCUCCAAUGCAACAAAGGAGUAUUUGGGGAGGCAUAAAGACAAGAUGGUUAGGGAAUUUGGUUAUACUAUCGUUCCCUCCACACAUUCUUAUCUCCCUAGCUCUAGAAUAUUUAAGAGAGAGAGAGAGGGAGAGAGUUGAUGAGAAUAUAGCACAACUUCAGUGCCAAGGAGAGCGUAUGACGGUGGUUCUCCGUCGGGGAUUUGUUUCGUUCAGAGCCAGAGACAUUUCUACGUACGCAUGCAGGUUAGAGUUUGAUGAGAGUUGAAUUAAUUCACAGAAUGUGAGAAAUGGGUAGAGGUCAAACACAAAGGAAGGCGGGGGAGGUGGUGGCUGUAGCAAUAGACAAUGACAAGGGCAGCCAACAUGCUCUCAAAUGGACUAUUGAUAGUCUUGUCACCAGAGGUCAAGCUCUCACGCUGCUCCAUGUCAGGUCGGCCGAGUCCUACUGCAAAAAGGAUUGAUCUAGAUAAUAGCGAAUGGGCUAAUUCUUAGUAUGAUAAGGAGUCUUAUUGGAAUAAGGAUGUCGGGAUUUGAGUAGUGAAUGUGGCAGGGCAAAGAGCUUGGUUUAGGGUUCUAGUGGAGGUAGGAUUGGCUGAGACUUGGUUAGAUUAGGAUAAAGAAUCCUAAUCCGAGUAUAGUCUUGGUUCGGUCAUGAUGAGAUUGGCUACUAUAAAUAAGAAGGGGGUGCAUCAUUCGAGCUCCUCCAACUCAACACACAAUUGCCCUGCUCAAGCUCUCGCUAUAUGCGAAACCUCUCAACAACCUUGAGAUUCUUUUUAUUUUUCGUUGACACAUCUUCAGUUUAGAUAAACAGCAUUGUUGCCGUAUAAUCAACCGACCGGGAAGCACCUUCAAUUUGGAUAAACAGCAUUGCGACGAGGCCGACUGGUUAUCUAUCCAAGUCUCAGUCGAGAAGGAUUUUCGAGUCAUUAUUGGCAGAGAUCAUCUCAUUAGCCUUCUCGGCGAAGUGAGAUGCUAUAGGUUACUACAUUCGGCACGUUGAAAGCCGAAUUUGAUAUUGAACUUCGUAGAACUAGCAGUCUUAUCUUCAGGCUCUAGAACCCGAAGGUUGAGACGUGUUCCUUCCUCGACCGCAAUCGCAAGAUCAGGAAAUCAACAGUGCACUCAACGCAACAUCAACUCAUUUUACUCACCGGCCGAGCUCGGCCGUCGAGUUAGUAUGCCUCGCACACAACUGAAUGACGUAAUUAGCUUAUUAAUUACUCGGGCUGCGCGCCACGUAAGCUUGGUAGUUUUUAGGGUUAACAGUUAUUCAUAACAACACUGGCAAGUGGCACGACAAAACUUUAACUUGCUGUCAAGGUGGUUAUAUUAUAAAUCUUUUUGGUUUUUAAAAUUAAAUAUUACAUUAAAUAAUUUAAAUAUAUAUUUUGGUUUGUAACCGAUCCUUUCAUGUUCAGGUCGGUUUUUUUAUUUGGAAAACUAACCAAAAACCCCUGAAAAGUUUCCUUUUAAUCAUAAGGACAAAAGUUUUCAGAAAUACCAAGGCUACCCUUCACACAUCCGUACAAAAUUGGCCAAGCUUUUAGUCAAGUUCACAUGCUGGGGCUGACAUUUUCAGAAAAUAUUUGCAUACAAAAGCUAAGGUGGCAAACAUCACAGCAACCAAGACAACAUGAAUUCACAUGUCUUUCAGACAGCUUUCAGAAACAGUGCUGACAGCUUUCAGAAACAGUGUGUUGUCACUAUCCAAAAAGUUGUAAAUAUUGAAAAGUUAUUUUGUUUUGUUUAGGAAUCAACUUUUGUAUAUAAGGGAGCCUUUCCUCCCAUACAGAGGACACCUCUCUCAACACCUGAAAACAACAUAUUCACUUCAUACACUCAAGCAUUCAUAGCCUUCAUAGCAUCCUUGUAAACACUUCUUUGUAAUCACUUUCUUGUAAACAACGAUCUCUGUAAACAUUCCAUAUAUCAAUAAAAGAUCAAGUGUACAUAUUCAAGCAAUCUCUAAGUCUUAAGUAAGUUUUCUUUUCCUUCUUUAGUGUGUUUGUUUAAUUAGACUUCUAGUCCAAAACAGGGAAACACUAUUGUGGUUAUAUUAUUAACCUGCUAAACUGACGAUCAUACUUUAUUCAAGCACUCUGUUAUAGUUGAAUAUUUGCCAUACAAAUAACUGGACAUUAACCAGGGUACCUCUAAGUUCAGCCGUUAAGGCCUUAUACUUGUACUGUGAGUGGCCGUCAUGCUGAAACAUGUCGAGUUCCAUGUGCAAGGUUCUAUGUCUAGUUGUUAUAAUGGUCAUCCGACUAUUUAACCGAGCAUGCGUUUUGAAUUUGGUAUCAGAGCCUAGUUUAGCAUUUUAAUAGUAUAAUUAUAAUAGUAAAGUACCUUGAGGAUAGAAGUCAUUGAUACAACUGAUAUCAUAUUUGUUUAUUGUAUAUGAACAACAGAUAUUAUUGUCCCUGUAGACCCUGUCAACCACAAUUACUAGGUAUUUAUUGUCCCAGACAUCCAACCAUAACUAGCAUGAAGAGAAGAUUAGCAUACAUAUCCAAAAGAAUUAUUAGUACUUUGAAGAAGCAAAAGUUUUAUCUUGGGUAUCUUGAACAUCAUUCAUUUAUUCGUAAAUAUAAUAACACAGAAGUGCAGCAUAAAGUUUUGGAAGCAAAAAGAACAACAGAUCAAGUUUUAGAGACAUUGAGAGAAGAAAGAGAGUUUUUAAGAAACCAGUUAGCCGUAACCUUAGAGAAAGGUAGACUGUAGUUUAUGAUAGAUUAUCUUAAUUUAGAAAUUAGUGAACCUCAAAAAAGAAAAAUAACUUUAGACCAAAAUAGUUUAGUUUGUUAUUUUCCAUCAAGAAAGCAUAAUCAUAUUUUGCACAGUGAAGAAAAUUCACAAGCUAAUACCAUUGUAGAUCUUAUUAUUAGUCAGGCAGAUAAUAUAAAAUUAGAAAAUAAUAAGCAUAAUCAUUUGUUAAACCAGUUGUUAGAACAUUUUUAGAAAAAUUCCAUAAAAAUAAUUAGACAAAAUUUAAACUAUAUUACAUCUCAGUUAGAAGAUAAUAAUAGAAAUAUUCAAAGGUUUCCUAUCAAAAGAGAUAUAAAAGAGCUUGUUGAUCUUAUAGAUAGUAAGCCGAAGCAAGUAGAACUUAGAUCAUUAGAAAUAGUUGAACAGCUAAAAUUAGAAGUUCAAAAAAUUCAAUUAGUACAAAAAGAGUUAAGUGAACAAGUAGAUAAAUUGCAUAAUAAAAUAGAUAAAUUAUUAGUUUAAUGACAGAUUCUAGAACUAGCAGAAAAUAUAUUCAAGCUUUGAAAGAAAUUAGUAAAUUAGAUAAAGAACCAGUAGGAUUAACAGAUUUUUCAACACAAGUAUCUAGUAGUAAUAUUCCCAUUAGGCAAAAUAAUUUGAUUAUCCAAUUAGUUUUAAGUUUAGCUGAAAAAUUAGAUCAAGUUGAAGAACAAAUAGCAGAAAUAAACCAAGUUUUACAUAACGCAUCUUCAUCACUUCCACCAUCCUUGCUAGAUAAAUUAGAAAAUUUAACUUUGAGUGCAAGUAAUAAUAGAAGACCUAAGCUAAAUCCUUUUGAUAAUAGAAAAUGGCACUCUUUAGGAAAAAAGGAAAAAAAGUAGUUAGAGCGGAAGAUAUUUAUCCAAAUGAAGAAUAAGCACAAGAAUUUAUUCGAAGAGGUUAUGAGAGAACACAGAAAAAUAAAUAUAACUUGUAUCAAUUAGGUUUAUUUGAAAACAGAAAUAGAAUUGUAAGCAGCAUCAGUCAACAUGAAGUUAAUUGUAUUGAUAAAGAAGUCACACUUAAUCUAAUUAGUAAAGAAGCAGUUACUCAUUUGAGAAGUCACAUUUUAGUCAAAUUCACAUAGGAACAAUAUUAAUUGGAAUAGCAGGAUUAACCAGAGCACAAGUAGGUAUAAAAGCUUUAGUAUACAUAUAUGAUGAUAGAUGGGAUAAUCACCAACAAGCAUCAAUAGCAACAACUAAAGUAGACUUAAGUUCAAACUUAGCAGUUAUAUGUUGUAUUCCAAAUUAUGUUAUGACGAUUAAUGAAUUUAGUAAAUAUAUUAAAGUGAGCAUAAAAACAAAAAAUUAUAAUAUCAAAGGAGAGUAUAAAAAUUUGUGUAUUAGCUUAAUGUAUAUAGGUAAAGUGUCUGAUAAAUAUAAUCAUAAGUUUAAUUUAGAGUUUCAAAUUUUAGUUCAAACAUUUGGCAGUAAACAUGUAAAUAUGAUAGAAGCAAAACCCGUAGAUAAUAGCUUUUUAAAAGGAACUCAGUGGACAUUGCCUAAUUUACAAGUAGCACCAAAUAGACAACCAGAUAAAGUACAAAUAUAUGAAACUAGUACAGGUCAAGCAACAAUUAGGUUUAGUAAUUAUAAGCAACUAGAAAAAAUAGAAGAGGAUGAGAGUGAAAUUGAAAAUGAGAGUAUACAUAUGACUUUUGAUAAUUUAGAUAUUAAUUUAGUUGAACAAAAUUUUGAUCAUAUUGUAGAUAAACUUAUCGAAGAUAUUAAUCAUUUAGAUGAAGAACAAUAUUUGAAAAAAUAUAAGACAUAUGAUUUAGGACUACAUAAAAUUUCAGACGAAGAAAUGAAAAUUUUAAUCUUAGAAAUAGGAGUAGAACACAUUUUAGGAUCAAAAGAAUAUAAUAAUUUAUUAGAAUUGAAAGCAGAAUGUAAUCUAGCAGAAGAAAGUAGUACAUCAGGAGUAGAAAAUCCAGGACACGCAAGCAAAACCGAUCAACAAUUUUUGAGACCAACAAAUGAACAAUAUAAUAAAAAAGCAAAAGUAGACUAUAUGGAAGAAAGUAUGAUAAAACCUAGAAAAAAUAGGAUUCCAUAUUUGAGAGGGUUAGAACAAAUUAAUAUAGCUGGUAAUAUAUUAAAUUUAGAUAAUGUAGAUCCACAAGAUUGGGAAAGAACGAUUGAGAGAUGGGAAAAAGGCUGCUUACAUGCAGCAUUAAUGUUAGAUUUUAGUAAUUCACAAAAUAUGUUAGAUUACUUUGAGCAUACUUUGGAUGGUUUAGUUUUUUAUUAUUUCCAAUCAUGGAAAGUUCAAAAUCCAGAACAGCAUCAGGCAGCUAAAACGCAUUUUAAUAUUGAUGGUUUUGUUACUUUGAUUAAACAAGAGUUUUUAGAUCAUAAUAGGUUAGAUGACAGAAGUGAACAAGAACAAAUAAGAGCAAUCAGAAAUUUAGAACAAUUACAAAUUUGCGAUUUACAGUAUAUAGCUGAGUAUACCACAUAUUUCUUUAAAUAUUUAGGAAGAACAGGUAGAAUUAGUGAUAUUAAUUUAUUAGAUACUUAUAUGACAAAAAUAAAAGGACUAAUAGGUGAAAAGAUUUGGAAUGAAUGGCAAAAUCAUCCGAAGAAAAAUGAUAUUGCUAUAGGACCUAGAAUCAGAAUCCAACAUGUCUAUGAUAUACUCAGACAAGAGUGUAGCCAAAUAAAAGCUAAGAGACAAAUUAGGAAACAAUUUUACAUGUGUUGUAAAAAUAUAGAUUUACCACAACAGUAUGGUUGCCAUAAGAAAAUAUACAAAAAGAAAUAUAAGUCGUAUAAACCCUACAAACAACAUAAGAAUUUCAGCAUAAGACCUUCAAGAACAUAUAGGAAAAGAAAAUAUAUUCCAAAACAAUUUAGAAAAAGAAGUGGCAGACCUUGGAUUAGAAAAUAUAAAGCACCGAAAGAUAAGAGUAAUUGUAAAUAUUAUUCAUGUGGAGAAGCUGGACAUAUUAGACUUAAAUGUCCAAAAUUAGGUAAACAGUCGAAAGAAAAAAGUACAUUUGAUGGAGUUGUUUAAGUUAGAAGAAGAUGAGGAUAUUCAGUCAAUAUACAGUUUAGAUAAUUUAAGUGAUAAUGAGAGUAUUUAUAGUAUAGAGAGUAUUAACAUGAUAGAUUCAGACUCAGAAGAUUCAAGUAACAUAAAUAGUGAUCUAGAAGAGUAUAUGUGUGCAUUCAUAGAUGAACAGCAUGAAGAAGAAUAUAAAUAAAUCAAUUUAGGUUAGCCAGAAAAAUGUCAUAAGUGUAGUAAAUUAGUUGCAAAUAAAUACUACAAUACAUACUCAAUAUUAUGUGUGAAAAAUGUUACAGUAAUAGGUUAUUAGAAGUUAAUUCAGCAGAAUCACAAGAAAAUACUGAAAUAUUAGGAAACAUUGUUUAUAGUAUAGAAAAACCAAAAAAUAGUUCUUUAAUUACCAUAUAUUGUGAAAUAGAAUUAGCAAAAGAACAUAAGAUACAAACGAUAGCUAUGAUAGAUACAGGGAGUACAAAAAGUGUCAUAAAAGAAGAAUUAGUACCAGAAAAAUAUAGACAAAAAUUAGCAAAACCAGUAAGAAUAACACAAUUUGAUGAGAGACCAGUUUACUUAACACAUUGUAUAAAUAAUGAGUUUAUUAAAGUAGAAAAACAACAAUUUAAUUUACCAUUAACAUUUGUUUCACCAGUAGAAUCAUAUCCAUUUAUUUUAGGUUUAAACUUUUUGAAAAGCUUGCAAGGUUUUUUUUAUUUAUGAACCCUAACAUAACAUUUUUCAAAAGAGGCAUUACAAUAACUGACCAAAGUAAUACUGUAGAAGCAUACAAAAACAUAAGUAUAGAAGAGCCUAGUGACCAAGAUAGUUAUCAUUUAGAAAACUCAAAAUAAAAUGAUGAGCAUAAUAACGUAGAAGAGUUUGAUGAAGACAUUUUUGAACAUGAAUACCCGAUUUUAGAAUAAGGAACCUGUAUAGAAAUAUUACAGUUAGAUAGACCAAAGAGUUUAGAAGAAUUGUUACAAUUAGCAGAACAAACUAGGAUUAUAGGAGAAGACCCACAAUUACAUUGGAGUAAAAUACUAGCAAAAUUAGAUAUAAUUAACCCAGAUUUAACCAUUAAGACGGCUGAUAUGCCUUGUAGUCUAAUAGAUAAACAAGAGUUUGAGCAGCAAAUAAAAGAGUUGUUAAAUUUAAAAGUAAUUAGACCCUCUAAGUCCAGACAUAGAUCAGCAGCAUUUAUUGUAAGAAAACAUUCAGAACUAAAGAGAGGUAAGGCUAUAAUAGUUUAUAAUUACAAGAGAUUAAAUGAUAAUACAUACGAAGAUAGUUAUAAAUUACCAAAUAAGGAUGAGCUUAUAAAUAAAAUUCAAGAGAGUAAAUAUUUUAGCAAAUUUGAUUGUAAGUCAUGUUUUUGGCAAAUAAGAUUAGCAGAAGAAUCAAUUGAGUGGACAACUUUUAGUUGUCCAGAAGGACAUUUUGAGUGGCUCGUUAUGCCAUUUGGACUUAAAAAUGCUCCAUCAAUCUUUCAAAGAAAGAUGGACCAAAUUUUCAAGAAAUAUGAUAAUUUUUGUAGUAUUUAUGUAGAUGAUAUUUUAGUACAUAGUAAAAAUACAAAUGAACAUAGGAAGCAUUUAGAGAUAGAUUACAAGAAUUUAUCAAUAAUGGAAUUGUAAUUAGCAAAAAUAAAAUAGCAUUAGAAAAGCAAGAUAUAGAAUUUUUAGGAAUGUAUAUUAAGUCAGGUACAAUGCAAUUACAAGAUCAUAUAGCUAAAAAGGUGUUAGAAUUUCGAGACAAAUAAGAAGAUAAGAAACAGUUACAAACAUUUUUAGGAUUACUAAAUUAUGCAAGAAAUUUUAUCCCUGAUUUAGGAAAAAAGAUAGCAGUAUUACAUAGUAAAACUAGCAAAACAGGACAAAAAUAUUUUAAUAGUGAAGAUAUUAAAUUAGUUCAAAAAAUAAAAGAAGAAAUUACUAAACUUAAGCCAUUAACAUUACCAUUAGAUGAUAGUUACAAGAUAGUCGAAACAGAUGCUUCAUCAUUAGGAUGGGCAGGUAUACUAUACCAGAAAAAGCAUAGGGAGUCUACAAAGUCUGACGAACAAGUUUGUAGAUAUUUCUCAGGAAAGUUUAGUGAUAUACAGUCAAGAUUACCAUCAACAGAUUUAGAAAUUCUAGGGAUAAUUAAUUCACUUGAAGCAUUUUCUUUAUUUUUACAUAAUGAAGUAUUUACGAUUAGAACAGAUUGUCAAAAUAUAGUUUCUCAUUAUAACAAGAUACAUGCUACUAAACAGGCAGCCCGAAAAUGGGUUAAUUUUGUUGAUUCAAUUACAGGAAAUGGUUUUAAACCAAUUUUUGAACAUAUAAAACGUAAUGACAAUACAUUAGCUGAUAUCUUAUCAAGAUUAAUUUGUUGAACAGGUAUGGAAUAUCGUGUACCAUCAUCAGCAAAUAGCACAAGGCUGCAAGGUAGAAGAAUUUCUUUCAAUGGCAUGAUGAUGCACCAUCAACCUCCACCAUUCAGUGGAUUUCAAAAUAGCAUGAGCAGACCAGCAUCACCACCAGUACCUACGUUAAACUUUAAUGGCAAUAUUGUUGAAGGAAUCAGAAAUACAACUCUGAGAUAUAGGUCAAGGGUACCAGGGCUUUCUGAUAGGCAGCAGGUUCUCUUAGAUACUUUUUGGAAUAUCCAAAUUAAGCAGCCAAGCAUGAGAUUAGGUCAUGAAAAAUUAAUUAGAGCCUUGGUGCAAGAGUUUGAUAGCUUUAAUUUUAAUUUCCACCAAAACCAGCAGCAUAUUCAUUCUCUUGAGCACAACCUUCAAGCCAUUUCUAGGGACCAUGAGUCAUUACUUGGUAAGUUUACCAAAAUGAAUCAAGAACUCCAAUCUCUUAGGAUGCAGCAAAAGGCAAGUGACACCUUGAAAAGAGAAUUGAAAAUAGAUUUAGAAAUUGAUCAGCAUAAGAAUAAAGGAAAAGAGGUUAUUGAACCCAUAGGACAAUAGGCUAAUGACCCCAUAGAAGAAAUUAAGAUUGAGCUCUAGAAGAAGACGUUGAAAUGGAGCAACAUCAAAAUAAUGAACAGCAUCAGGUUCUGAGUGACAAAGAAAAACAAGAAAAAUAUGAAAGUUUUCUUAGGAAUAUAUCUUCAGACUUGAUAUUAGAUGAUGUUUUAUUAGAAGAAAUUUCAAAGGAAAAACUAAGAAUAAUGCCAACAGACAUGCAAAAUGAGAUCUUGAGCAGAGCAUCACAGUCCAUGAAAGAGUUACAAUUACAAUUACAAUUACAAUGGGCCUUGUAUCAGUCCAUCUUUAAUCCAAAACCAGGGAUGGAUAUUAUUACAAAGAUGUAUCCUCCAUGUCUUUGUGAUAGUACAGAGAAUUGUAUUUGUAAACCAGAUGUUAGCGUAGCUGUGGCUAGGAUUAACAUGAAAGAUUUUAAAUCAUGGCAUUUUAGUUAUGAGCAUCAGAAAAAGCAUAAUGUGAUAGAAGUUACCCCUACCUUACUAUUAGAGUUUGGUUAUCUCGAUAAAAUAUUUAUUAACCGUAUUUCUCAACUAGAAUUAUUUCCUGAAAAGCUUAUAAAAGUAGCAGAAGAUUAUCUAGAAAGGUGGAAAGAAAUUUGCAUAAGUUUUAUUAGUAGUCCUCCAGAUUGGUAUGUACAUAUGCAUAAGGAGAAAGCUAGGCAUAUAGCCAUGAUCAAUGAAGAGUCCUUUAGACUAAAUCCUAUCUCCUCACAUAGGUGGACUCCUUCAUACAAAGAUAUUUUAAAAUUUAGAGAGAUCCAAAUGCUUGCUUUGGAUAAGUUUGAAGAUUUUAGGUAUGACAUGGUACUAGUAGCAGAAGAAGAGGAGAUGUAUAUUUACAGUAAGACAAGAAUCAGUCAUCAGCCUUAUUGGAAGCCCCAAAAUUUCAAAGAAGAAACAACAGAAAUAUAUUACAAGGUGAAAGAAGAUAAAGAAAGAGAUGCAGAGCUAGUAGAAGACGAUGAACAGUAUUGGAAUAAUUUGUCAGAAGAAGAGCUGUAUAACAUUGACAACAUGAUAGAAGCCUGAAGAGCUAGCUGUAAAUUAGCAUAAGUUGAAUAUCAUCAUAAUGUAUUUCCAGACAGAAAUGUCAACAUCUUUGUGGUCCGCAUGUAAUGGCAUAAGAGUAAAUAAAGAGAAGAGUCUGAUCUAUUAUGGACAUUUUCAUACAUAAAAUGUCCUUAUGGUUAAGAAUGAAUAGUACAAAGCCCUUUUCAUUAAAACUCCUUUUUUUAUUUCUAUUUGGUUCUUUUUUUUUCGAGUUAAGUUUGAUGUCCCAUUCGAAUUAUUUGGUUUUUCAGUUUUUUUUUUUAACCCACCCCCCUUAAGCACACUUAAGUAGAUGGAGAAACGAUUGAUAUUUUAUUUUUGUAUAAUGUUAAGGAGAUCAAAAUAUUUAAACUAAAUGAUGUGGUUGUUAAUGAUUAUAUUAUUAUUUAAAUAUUGAUUAACGUGUUUAUUUUAUUAGUAACACAUCAUUUAAUUUUUCAAAUUUGAUUUAAAAUUUUGAUGUCUCUAUCAUUAUCCAUACUAAGGGCAUGACGGUCAAAUGACGUGGAAUAAGUUGGUGUAUUUGAGGGUAAUUUCAUUGUUUUGUCAAAAGCGUAACCCUAAAGGUGAAAUCUCCAAACUCGUGCAAUCUCUCUGAGUCUCUCUCGCACAGACGAAGCCAUGAUCCGGGUACCCAGAGACGACGCCAAGCGCGGAGGCGGAGGCGGAGGCAGAGGCAGAGGCAGAGGCAGGGCCAAUUCGCUCGCGCGAUCAGAAUCCGGGCGGGGGAAGAAUCCAGCCCAGCCAGCGGAGCUCCGAGGUGAGUUCCGGAUUUGUCUUGGUGUAUAUAUAUGCGUUUGGUUUCUAUUUUAGGGUUUGUAAAUUCUGCAUAUUAACCAAAAAUGUUGCAGCUUAAUUGGUGUUAAACCCAAAUAUAUGCGUUUGACGAAACAUAUCAAACAAAAAAUUGCUGUUUUUCGUCACCGUGCGAGAAUUACCCUUAAAUUAAUUACAUGCCUAGUUUUUUGUUUCGAUAGAACUCCCUUCUUAUAUUGAUAAUAUGUAUCUGUUUUUGGUGGGUGAUUUUGUUGAGUAGUAAUUUGUGCCCUGCUCCCUUAAUUUGACCUGUUAAUUAGCUGAGUAAAUAUAUCUAGUAUUAAUUAAUUUAUGUGCAACAAACAGAUGAGAAGAAAGAAACAAAAGCUGUCGAAAGCUCUAUGAGUAAACUCCAACUUGAUGAUGAUACUCCUACUUCAAAGAAGAAACGUUACCGCGAGUCUAAGAAAUGCCAUUCUCAGAAUGAGCAUUGUGCAGUUUGCCUUGUGGACGGCCACCACCAACAUCUGUGUCCCUACCGGGAAAGUGUCCCGUUGGGUGUAACUAAAGUUGGAGAGGGCUAUAUACUAAUGUGUAGGACUUGUGGUUUUGUGGGUAACGUCUGCCUUCAUGGCCGCUCUUAUGCUCGUCCCUAUAGGCGGUGUUAUUGGCGUCUGAAACAUGGGUACCCAAUCCACGAGGAAGUGGAGCAAAUCAGGGCAAGACAGAGAGAAAUGGCUGAAAUGUCCAGGGCACGAGUGGAGAGAGGUGAACCAUCCUUAUUGGAUGAUACCUCUUCCGAUUCCUCUUCUGAUACCUCUUCCGAUUCCUCUUCUGAUUCCUCUUCUGAGAUAUAAUCGUAAUGAAGCUUAGGGUUGGAACAUGCGGUGGCUGCAGCUGUUGGAUUGCCUUUUCUGUUCAUUCAUGGCGGAUAGAUACUACUUUGUUGGUUGUUUUCUCGUGUGUUUAAUUUCGUUCUUGGAAUAGCUAGUUGUGCAUGUUGGUCGGAUUUCCUUUGCUUGUAGGCUUGUACUGCUUGUCUUGGAAUAACUAUGAAACGAAUCAACCGCUAUCAAAUACUAAUCUCACCAGAAUUGUUCAGUUAGUUUUUCGUACGUAUUAUUUCCUUUGCUUGUACGUACUAUUAUUAGUAAGGCCAAGUACUGAUGGCACUGUACAUUUUUUUCUUCCAAAAUUAUGCGCCUGCUAGAGUGACUUGAAUAGGAGAAACCCUCCAAGUUUGAGAGUACCACAAAAUUAGCAUCAGGUUUUUCCAGCUUCCGUUUUAACGUCACUCUGCCACAGAAAGUAGCUAGUGAAUAGAGCUGAAGCGCACAAGCAACAUGUACUAGCAGCAAAACAUAAGGCCAACCCUAAACCCUACAAUAGGCGGGACUUGCAUUGGAAGCAACUGCGGCAGCAAGCCUCAAGAGGCAACAAUUUUGGCCGCUGACUAAGCAGUUGAGAUGUUUUCUUAGAUUAAGCUGCAACCAUCCGUAAAUGCAGGUUUCACAUCCAACAAUGCUCAGUUCAUAUCUUAGCUGCCGUUAUAUUUAUGAUUUCUCUUGCUUUUCUCUAAUUUUUAGUUAACCUAGCUUGUUUCAACAAGAUUUAGAAUGGCCUUCUAUUUGUUUUAAUUUGUUUAAAUUUUCGUGAAGGCUAGUUACUAGAUGGCCACCUCUUUAACAUAUAUAUAGUCGUUUGUUUAUGUAUAUAUAUGUACAUCUAUAUAUGUGUGUGUGUGUGUGUUGUUACGAUUCGCUAACUUUUCUUUUGGAGACAAACGACUCAGACUCGUCUAGAUUUUUUGGGGGCAUGUAAAUUUUGCUAAUUUAGGAAUAACAAGUAUGUGGAAGUUACAACUGCAUGCUCCAAUGCAACAAAAGAGUAUUUGGGGAGGCACAAAGACAACAUGGUUAGGGAAUUUGGUUAUACUAUCGUUCCCUCCACACAUUCUUAUCUCCCUAGCUCUAGAAUAUUUAAGAGAGAGAGAGAGAGAGAGAGAGAGAGAGUUGAUGAAAAUAUAGCACAGCUUCAGUGCCAAGGCGUUGCCAAGGAGAGCGUAUGACGGUGGUUCUCCGUCGGGGAUUUGUUUCGUUCAGAGCCGGAGACAUUUCUACGUAAGCAUGCAGGUUAGAGUUUGAUGGAGAGUUGAAUUAAUUCACAGAAGGUGAGAAAUGGGAAGAGGUCAAACACAAAAGAAGGCGGGGGAGGUGGUGGCUGUAGCAAUAGACAAUGACAAGGGCAGCCAACAUGCUCUCAAAUGGACUAUUGAUAGUCUUGUCACCAGAGGUCAAGCUCUCACGCUGCUCCAAGUUAGACAAAUAACCGCAAUUCCCACGCAAAGUACAUUCUCUCUCUCUGUAUGUGUGUGUGUGUGUGUAAAUGCAUGAAUGCAUAAGAUGCUGAUGAUGAUCGUAAUUUACUAAUGUACGUCACCAGCCACAAAGGAGGUUGAAAAGGCUCAAGCCAAAGAGUUGUUUCAACCAUUCCGCUGCUUUUGCACGAAAAAACUUGUGAGUAAUGCUUCUUCCCUUCAUAAAAGUGAUAGUGCAUUGCCUAUCCCGCUCCAUGAACAGUUGAGCGGAAUCCCUCGUUUCGCAACGUGAUUUGUAGUUGUACUGCUUAUUUGAUUUUUGCAACAGCUAAAAUGCAAUGAAGUCAUGAUCAAGGAUAAAAACAUAGCAAAAGCACUGGUAAACUAUGUUGUCAAUAAUUCAAUCGACAUUUUGGUACUUGGUGCGCCGUCGAGAAGCGGCCUUCUCAGGUACUGAUUUCUUCUCCAAGUUAUAUCUCAGUUCAUAUGCACCAACACUGUAAAAUUCAUCAGAAAAAUAGUAUCAAAGAGAACAAGCAUCAAUCGUAAAAUGUAUAAAUCAUUCAUUUAUUUGAAUGGAACUAUAACUGUAGGUAGUUAAGUAUUACAUCUUUAAAAUCCAAUGAACUAAGAAAACUUUCAUACAUCUGUCUCAAUUAAUACCAGCUUACAUACGCCGAAAAUUUGAUGGUUUGAGAAAUCAUUUAUUCAAGAUCUGGUUCCGCACGUUGUAGUCUUACCUCAGUUUUUUCUUCUCGGAAGCCAUCAAUUACGCAUGCAUCAUAAUUAUAUCAAUCUCGUCACAGAUUCAAAACAACAGACGUUCCAAACACCGUCUCAAAAGAGGCACCGAGUUUCUGCACUGUGUAUGUCGUUGGCAAGGGAAAGAUAUCAUAUAUGCCAGCUGCUACCACUUCACUGUCCCAGGCAGCUUACUUGCCUAAUCAAAAACAGCACCAAACAAACAAAGCUUCUGACACAAAUGAUACGCAAUUCAGCCACAACCAGCAAUGCAGAGGUUGGCCAGAUUCGGUUUUUUCUUUCUUUUUUUUUUUUUAGGUCGAAAGUUCAGAUUAUGUUCUAGCAUCUGUUAUUUCCCACCUCACGUCUGGUUUCUUGUCAUUACUCAAACAAGUUUCUUUGACCAAUACAGCAUGGGAGAGGACGCAGUAUCCACCACAAAGCCAGCAAUAAGGAGCAUGCCUCCAACUACAAACUUGACAGCAGAAACUAAUAUACCACAAAUGAUUAUCCGAGCCAGUUCUGGUGUCCCAAUAUCAUUCCUUCAAUAAUUGAUACCUAAAAUUUACCAGUUUUUACUGGUUUUAGUUCCACAAUCCAAAAGAAGCUUUAUUUUUAUAAAGCAUACAUGCAGGUAUAGUUCAGAGUAUUAAUACGUAAUUUUCUUGAAAAUAAUAGGAUGAAUUGGAAGCUGAGAUGAGGAGGCUCAGGCUAGAGCUCAAGCAAACAAUGGACAUGUACAGUACAGCCUGCAAGGAGGCACUCACAGCAAAACAGAAGGUAUUGAUGCAAAACCUUUUCUUUGAUGAAAUAUAAAUCUUGGGUUCAGAACAACUAUUUAAGCAUAAAUUCUAUGGUAAAGUACAAAAAACUACUUUAAUUAUUAGUAUCACGACACUUUCAUACCUCAUCUUUUAAAAUUGACAAUGUCAUACCUCAUCUUUAGAAUUUGGUCCAAUAUUAUACCUUCCGUUACUUGGCCGUUUAUUUUUCAGUUAAAUGCUGACGUAACUUGAUCCAAAUCUCACUUUCUAUUAAAAAAUUAAUAAAUAUUAUUAAAAACUAAAAAAAAUCAUUUAAUAAUUUCUAAAUAUUAAAAUGUGGCUUGAUCUAGAUCCUACUUUCUAUUAAAAAUUAAUAAAUAUUAUUAAAAACUAAAAAGAAAUCAUUUAAUAAUUUCUAAAUAUUAAAAUAAUAAAAAAAAGUUUAAAAAAAAAAAAACUUAUGUUCGUUCCCUUUUGCCCCCCCCCCCUUUCUCUCUCCUCUCCCAUCUUCUUCUUCUUCCUCCUUCUUUUGCAGAUUUGGGCUCUUUUUUUUUUUUCUUCUUCUCUCCUCAUCCUCCCCGCAUUCCUCCUCCUCCUCCUUCUUCCCCUUCCUCCUCCUCCCCUUCUCCUCCUUUUUCUUCUUCUUCUUUCGUUGCAAAUUCGGUUUCUUUUUUUUUCUUUUCUUUUUUUUUUCUUUUUUCUUCUUCUUCUUCCUCCUUUUUUCUGGGUUGCAGGAAGGGGGCUAGAAGGAAGAUGAAGAUGAAGAUGAAGAUGGGGGAUCUUCUUCUUCUUUCUUUGUUGCAGAUUCGAUUUCGGUUUUUUUUUUUUCUUCUUUCUUCUUCUUCUUUCUUCGUUGCAGAUUCGGUUUCGAUUUUUUUUGUUUUUUUUUUUUUCUUCUUCUUCCUAUUUUUUUUCUGGGUUGUAAGAAGGAACUGGAAGGGAGAAGAAGAUGAAGAUGGAAGAGAAGAGAGAGAAGAGGGGGGGGGGGGACAAACAUAAGUUUUUUUUUUUUUAAACUUUUUUUUAUUAUUUUAAUAUUUAGAAAUUAUUAAAUGAUUUUUUUUAGUUUUUAAUAAUAUUUUUUAAUUUUUUAAUAGAAAAUGGGAUCUAGAUCAAGCCACAUCAGCAUUUAACUGAAAAAUAAACGGUCAAGUAACGGAAAGUAUAACAUUGGACCAAAUUCUAAAAAUGAAGUAUGACAUUGUCAAUUUUAAAAGAUGAGGUAUGAAAGUAUCGUGACACCGAUAGUUGAGGUAAUUCUUUUGUACUUUACCCUAAAUUCUAAUAAUAAAUCAUCACAGGCAACCGAACUCCACCGGUGGAAAUUGGAAGAGGAACAGAGAUUAGAACAGGUACGAUUAGCUCAGGAAGCUGCAUUGGCACUUGCAGAGAAUGAGAAAUUGAAAUGUAUGGCAGCCAUGGAGGCUGCAGAAGCAGCUCAAAGGAUCGCAGUAAUGGAAGCACAGAAAAGGAGGAAUGCAGAAAUGAAAGCCUUUAAAGAAGCUGAGGAGAAGAAGAAGGCAAUAGAAGCAAAAACAUAUGAUUUCAUGUUCAGGAAAUACACAAUUGAGGAGAUUGAAGCAGCAACAAAUAAUUUUUCAAGAGAGAAACCGACCUUGCGUGCCAAGGCUCGAUUUUGUGAAUGGGAUUGAUGGCAGAAAAUAGAAAGGCGUUUUGGGUAGAGAGAAGCUGAAACACGUAUUGGGCUCAGAAGAACCGUGACCCCCAUUUCCUGACACAGCUGAGUGUUGGAAUGAUAACACAAAUUUGAACCCUCCGUUUAAUGCAUUUCGAUAUUGAUACUACAUUUGGAAAUGUUCCAUUGAAAUGUUUUUUUUCCCGAUAAUUUUUAAAUAAAGAUUUAAACCUUAAAUACUUUCGUGUAUUACAUUUGCACGCUGAAAAUACUUUAUUCAAUAUUAAUUGACGCAUAAAUUUAUAUAUUUAUUAUUCGUUAAUUGUUUAGAUAUAAAAUGAAUGAGAGUUUGCACAAGCACGGAACAGGAUCCUAUAACAUGUGUUCUUUAGUUUUACGACUUUUACGAUUCUUUUGAUUACAACGUUGGUAUUAUUUUGUCAUUUAAUUUCAACUUUGCAUGGUUUGAAACUUGAAAAGUGCGUCUCAUAAAUUUUUUUUUUUUUUGUAUGAAUCUAAAACCAACCCAAACUCGAAUUAGGAAUGUUGGGUUAGGAUUGGAUUGACUAUCCAACUGGCCCAACCCGUCCGAGUUGCACCCUAAUUAAGAGUGUGUGCAUUUUCUACCUAAACAAAAGUUUUGUUUUCCAAUUACCACUUAGGCUUCAAUUUUGGUGCCAAUGUGCAACCUUUGAUGAUUUCAGUUAAAACUAGCAAAGAAGCCCGCGCUCUGCUGCGGGUUUGAAACCGUAACCAAAAUUUAACACUCAUUUUUAAAUUAUUUAAAAAUAAAUGAAAGCAACUAAAUCCACAUGAUAUUCAAAUUGUGAGAUGUAUCAGAUAUCAAUUGUUGUCUGUAUCUUUGUGCUUCUCAUUGUAAGUUCUUUUUGCUUAUUACUCUGAAUUUUUGUAGUUUGAAAUUUGCAAUGAUCAACAAACAUGGGAUAUGCUUAUGUGAUUUUCCAUGAACUAAUGAAUGGUUUGCAAUUAAUUUCACUGAUGUAUAUUCAUAAUUUGGAAUUAGGAAUAACAGUUAAACAGGGCCUUGAAUUACAUCAUCAACCAAUAAUUUCUCCUUUUGCUUUCUGUGAAUUUUUUGGUUGCUUGCUGCAAAUGAAUGGAUUUGGAACUUUGAAUUAACAAAUUAAGCAAUUCAAGCAUAUUACAUACCCUUAAAAGGCUUAAGAGUAGAUAUAAGAUUAAUUAAUAUUAAAUCAAAAUAAACAGAUGUAGCUAUGUAUAUUUUCAGCAAUUUCAGUCCUUCACUCCCAUCAUAGGACUUAAAUCACAUUUAAAAAUAAAAAGUACACAAAGAAAGUUGUACUUUUAGCUUUGUUUACAAAAAGCUCCUAUACAACUAUGUAUUCCACACGAAUUUGUGUAGAAGGACUUGCCUCGGGGAUGAAGUACUCUGUCUUCUUGCACACACCUAUGCCGAAAUCUCUAUCAGGAAACUUUUCCAACCCCUGUAGAAGCCAAUAUAUGAAGGAAAUCAUUCAAUGCAAUUGUAUUAACCUUAUUUUAAGGAUAUGAAAAUGAAUUUUUUUUUUCACUAAUAAUACAAUAUGUACAACCAUUACCCAGUUUCAGAAUUCAUUUCAACUCCCAAAAUUACACAAAAUGUACUAAAAUUUCAAGCAAAGAGAACGAACCAAGAUUCACAAUUCAUUUCAAUUCCCAAACAUGCUCACAGAUUAAUGAACUCUCACUGAAACAACAAAGAACCAGUGAAAUUUUGUGUAACUUAAGAGGAAAAAUUCUUACCUUGACGACGGGCAUUUGGCCUCCGAACAUCAAAACAACACCCAUUUGGUGGAGAAUUCUCAAGGUGUCACGAACGGGAGCCACAUGCCUACUUAAACACAUAAAAAAGAGGCGGAGCAUUUCCACUGCGCCAACAACCCAAUUAUGAUGGUUUUAACUUCUGGUAUAUUUAUAUUUCAUUUACAGAACAUAUAAAAAAAAUUUGGGGGCCCCCCGAGAUUGGGGGCCCUAGGCGAUCUCCUUACUCGGGUACCCUCAGACAUUGUUCUAAAAAUCCCCGCCUAGCGUUGCCUAGGCGCUAGGCAGCUAGUCACCGCCUCGAUUAAUAGCAAGGCAUUUGAAAAUUAAGAAAUGACGCCUAGACCUGCUGAGGCGCCCACCUAAACCGCCUAGCUCACCCAGACUCGCAUAGGUUGCUACUCACUUAGACAAAAAAUAGAUAACUUUCAUUUUGCAUUUUCUUUUCUCAAUAAAUUGUAAGAGCUUGUUGGGAACCACCAACUGUUGCUAUGUUAUUGUAAUGCUGUAAAGGUUACCCUACUCACUCUAGGUCGGACUGAAAAAAUAGGCCUUAUAUUCACUGUUUUGGAGAAGUGGAAAAUAUGGUCUCACAGUUUUCAUGUCAUACCUAUUAUCAUAGCGAAUCGUGUCGUGUCAAACCCAUUAUUUUAACAGAUUGUUCAUUGGUGACUCAGUAACGACCGAAUUCGUUAAUAGGUCAUUUCGUUUCAUGUUUGCGUAACGAGUCAUGUAAGAUAUUAUUAUGUCUAAUGUCUAGACCUGGUGAAUGGGUUGUGCUUGUGUCAUACCUACACAUAUCUUAUUGGAAUCUUAAUAGGUGACUGAUAAUGACCCAACUUGCUAAUGAGUUAUUAACAGGUGACCCGAUAUUGAUUGGCUUGUUAACAAGUUGACCCGACACCUAUUAUUUUCAUGUCAUGCAAGAAAUUUUAAGGCCUACUAAUGAUGUUCUCUAAUAAUGUAGGCAAGCAUAAUAGGUAAAAUUGUACUAUAAUAGUUGGCGUGACAAGUUGCUUACUCAGUUGCCUUAUUAAAAAAUUAGUCAAUCCAAUCUAACAAAACAAAAUUUUUAUUUUAUUAAUGUCUCUCACCUUUGGUAUUUACUUUUAUCAUUCAUUUUUAUCUUUUUCCCCAACAUGGACUACUUUAUUAUAAAAGAUAUGUGGGAUCCAUUUUUUAGCUACACAUGUAGAAGUAGGCAAUGUUGUCAACUUUAGGGGAGUAGGCAAACUUUGCCUACUCCAUUGGAGCUUUAUUUUGUCUAUGUAGCUCAUCAAAAUGAAUUACUCAUUUGCCUACUUCAUCGGAGAUACUCUAAAUUAACUAAACUGUAGAGAGAGAAGGGAGGGAUUCAAACUUAGGUUCAUUGGAAAAAGCACUUCUACUCAGAUCAAUGUAGUUGUAGCUAUGCCCAUGUCUGCUCAUAAAUAAACUAAAUAGUAAGUCACUUAAUACUACAAUUUAGUAAUAAUUCUCUCCACUUGUAAGUGGGAGGACUUAAGUUCGACUCUUGUGAAUGACGAAUUUGGUACCAAAUUAUUAUGGUUGACUCAUUAUGUGGCUGACCCAUUGUGCACCUUCUUAGUGUGAAUAUAUCAUUGUAUUUAAAAAGGUUAAAGCUUAAAUAAGGGCUGAUUGGUUGGCAAAGUUACUUUAACGCAUUGUUUACUAAGUGAUGGUCUUAUGGUUUUAUUACUUUUUAGUCAAAAUAGUUUCUGAGACUGGCAUAACUCCUAAUUUUGGUCCCUAAGAUUUAAAAUCAAUGAGAGUGGUCCUAAAUUUGUCCAUCGUUAAUUAUUUUGGUCAUACGAUAAAAAAUCUCCGUUAAAUUAGAACAAAAAUAACAAAAAUACCCUCACUUUUUGUCAAAUUUUUUUGGCCCAUUAUUUAUUAAAUAAGUGUAUUUUCGUCAUCUAGAUCCUUAUUUAGUAGGGACUUUUCAUGCAUGUAUCCAACGUACAAUAGCCACUUAGUACUAUAGUCUAGUUGUAUUCCUAUUAACUUGUAAGUGAGAGGUCUUAGGUUCAAUUAUAGAUAAAGGUGAAUUUGAACAACAUUAUUGUUAGCCCAUUGUGAGGCUAAGCUCACUCUUUUCCCUUUUAGUGUAGAUAAUAUCGUUUGUUUAAAAAAAUGCACAAUUCUAUUAGUUUCUUCUCCAAUUGUGAUUGGUUGAAACAAAACGGAUGGAGAGGGAGGGAGGAAAUCAAGAGUAAUGGCCACAUAAUAUUUUGGGUACAUGAGAGAAUACCUCGGCAUUAAAAUCUUUAAUUGAUUUGAUACGUUUUCUUCUAAACAUAGAAGGCAAACCAAACUAAAAGUUUUCUUAGAAUAAAAAAUAACGCUUAUUAAGUCAAGUUAUCAAACUUAUCAUUCAUAAAAGUCAUGAGUGGUAUUAACUUAGAAUUAUCAGUAGAGAAAUUUAAAAUUUAGAAGUCAUUAAUUGUUACAAAGAUAAGAAGAGUCAAGAAAAAAAAAGCAACAUUUGUUUUUCUCUCUUUUUAUUUUCUUUAAGAAAAUUAGAGUAUCGGCUCUUGAAUGAUGAGUAAACUUAGAUUUGGUCAAUCAACCAAAAGUUUAUCAAAUUUGGAAUUUAAAUUCGACAAAAUGUGAAGCAUUAGUCAAUCCAUCAUAAUGUUGUGAGAUAUUUAAGAGAGCAAGAGUCGUACUCUUAAUAGUCAAAUAUUCUUUUAAACGAAAGAUCAUUGCUUAUAAUAUAAAGAAUUUUUUUUUAAUCAAAUCUUAACUUAGUGAGACAAUUUUUUGUGAACAAGUUACGAAACAAAACGAAACUCAUUUUUGAAGCAACUCACUCGCAAAUAUUAUGGUGUUUUGCUAGACAAUAUACAAGGAGUUUUUUUAAUUUUUUUUAUGGUCACAAAUAUGAAAGAUGCAAAAGAAUAUAACAACUCAACGGCCAUGAUUUAUUAACCAAAACAUGGAGGGGCCAAUAUACGAAAAAGAAAGAAUAAGGAAAGUGACAACCACUAAUUAUUACAAAAUAAAAUGAAAAAUUAUUGUUUAUGUAUUUUUAUUGCAAGAAUAAUAAUUUAAUAAAAAUUUUAAAUAAAAAAAUAGUGUAUUUAUAUGAACUAGGAUCUUCUCCCCUUCUCUUGUCAUCCUCUUCCAUCAUCUUUUCUCAUAUUUUCUAUUUUGUCUUUCUCUUAUUAUAAAAAAUUAAUAUAAAAUAUUAACAUGAUUUGACUGCAACCGUUCAAAUAGAAGGAGGAGGUUUAAAUAGAAGGAGAAGGAAGGGGAAGGAAAUAAACGGGAGUCCUACUCCUAUUUAUAUUGCGCUUUCCUCUAAUAGCUCAGAGGGGUAGAGAAGACCAGAGAGAAGAGACCUGAAAGGUGGUCUUCCUCUGCAUCUCUCUCUAGGAAUACUCAAGCUUUAUAGAUUUUAGAGAGAGAAAGAGGAGGUACUUCUCUCAGAAGCUGCACUGAAUUUAGCAAAAAAUAAUACUCCUCCUACUUGCUCCAUUGCUUCUACUUCACUCCCUCCCAGCUUUGCACAAAACUGUCUCUCCCCCCCCCCCCCCCCUUCUCUCUCUCUCUCUCUCUCUCUCUCUCUCAAUAUCUCCAAUCUUUCCUGGUUUCCUAAAAAGAGUCAAGAAAACCCUUUUCUCUAUUACCUCAGUCUUCCUCUGCUUUGGCAAUCCUCCUUUAAAUCAGCUAAAACAAAAUCACCAACCAUUCAAUUUAGCAAAAGUAAGAGAAUCUGAACAAAACCCUGUUGCAGACUUUCCCGGAAGAUGGAGAAUUUUUCCGGGAAAAAGCGACCCACAAUCAGUAUCUCACUUUUCACUACUUUUUCCGAGUCAAUUUCCUCUGACAAGUUCCCCAAGUCAAUCAAAUCCCCAAGAAAUUUCCAAGAUGGGGUUGUUGGGCUUGGAAUAGUGGCUGCCAUGACUGAUUUGGGCAGCCCCAAUGAAGUGGCUUUGUCUGAAAAGUCACCAAGGUCGAGCCCAAUCCCCAUAGUCUCUGCAGCUAAGCCUGCAGCUAAUUUCAGAAGUGGGUUUUGUGUGGAGAGGGCUGGGGCUGUGGUGGAUGAAUUGUCUGAGAGCUAUACGUGUGUGAUUUCGCAUUUCGGAAACAAUUUGACAUCGAAGCGGGUUUAUCGGUGAUAAGCUGAGUGGGGUUGUGGAUGAUCCUAAUGCUGGUAUGGUGGUGGCCUCUGGGGUGUUCUCUACUUCUCCAUUGAGUAUUGGUGAAGUGGGAAGAGAGUUUUGGGCUUCCGAUUUUCUCAGUUGUUGUUAUCUUUGCAAGAAGCAGCUUCAUGGACUGGACAUUUUCAUGUACAGGUAAAAACAAAAGUUAUAUAUACAUACAUAAUAUAUACACACACAGAGAGACGUAUGUAUAUAUGUUCUCUUGAUGUAUAGUUACGAGUUAAUCACUUUUGAUGAUUGAUUUUGGUGAAGCGUGAUUUAGGAAAUCGUGGAUUUUGAACCACGUUGUUGAUUUUGAAUAUGGGAUUAAUUUUUGCUUAUUGAUUAUGUUGUGUAAUGUGGGAGAUUGUGUUUUGAAAGGAUUUGAACUUUAGGGGUGAUAGAUGUUUUAUUGGCAUGGAUGAAUUGACCAAUUCUUGGAGAUAUAUGAUGUUUCAAUUUUGUUCUAUUUUAGAAUUAGAUUUCUAAGUUUCGAACAUACUGUGAAUGCUGAACAAACUGGUCAAUCUGUAACAUAAUUUUUGGUCUCUGGUAAGUUGUCGGUCUAAGCAGGAGGAUGUGACUCAUGGAUCUGCAUCAGCAGCUAUAGUAUUUCUCCUCGUAUUUGUAAUUUUUUGUUUCGAGUAGAGGGUUACCUUUCGUGGCAUGAUUUUCUCGGAGAGGUUUAACUGUUUAGGUUAUUGUUUGUGAUUGAAUGGUACUUGAAUGACUUCAUUCCCGUAUUAGGUCAUCUCCUUUGGUCCUCUGUGUUGUGCGCUUGAAUUCAUGCAGAAGAUGUUUGAAUAUUGUUUCCUUUUGAGAACAACGGUUUUAAGUGUAGUUUCAGAAAGUUACUGGAAAUUCUUAGUGAUUGUUGUGUUCUCUCUAUUGUCCUCGACGACCAUGUACAUCUUGAUUAAGCUAACAUUCCACUUCUGGCCUUGUGCCAACUUGCUAAUAGUCAUCUCAGUGAGCUUUUGUAAAGUAAGAUACAAGCUUGACAGACAAAGUAAAACUUGAGUACUCUAGCAUCAAUAAGUAGUUUGGGUUUUCACACUUAAAUCCUUAACUUUGGUUCUCAUUUGAUUGUAUCGAAGCCGGUUGUUUCAAAGAAAAUCAAGCAAAAUCCAUUGGUGACAUUUUGUGUUGAUUUAUGUAUAUAUCACUAUAAAAUUAUAUGCCAGGCUGUACACCAAUCAUUAGUUUGACAAUAAUGUCAUUAGACUGUUGCAUGCUUAAGAAGUAAUGCCAGGGUUGUUUUGUCUUAGGACUCAAUGGAACAUGCAUCUUUAGAAACUUAGCAUGGAUGCCAGCUCCCAGCUGUUUACUUAAUGAACACUUCCAAGUUACACAUCUUUGAUUGCAGUCAUUUGGUUUUGUAGUAUUAAAGAUUUCGUCGAGUUAAUAUUUGUGUAUUUUUUAAUUAUUAUUACUUUCUUACUAAGUUGCUACUACUCCUAUAAGAAAGUGGCCAUUUACUUUGGAAAAAAAAUUUGCUCACUGUUUUUACCACGGUGUAACAUCGCCACCCUACUCAAUGCAUCCACCUGUUAUACAAGUCCUGUUCUCCAAGACCCCAUUGUCCAAGAAAAUUGUGUUCACCCACAGUUCAAUCUUUAUUCCAACGGUGGAGGAGAAAAUACAACAACAAAGAGUGGGUGAUCACAAUUUCCUUGGACCAUGGGGUCUUGGAGGACAGGUCUACCCGUUAUACAUCGUAUAUACCUUAAUUGGAGGUAGUGAGCAAAGUUGUUGUCUCAUCUUUUGAAAUCGAAUUAUGUGUGAAAGUAUACCUCAAAGUCUCUUAGAAUCCGGGAAGUUGAGCUUUCCGAAUGGACAUACGCAUUGUGUUAAGAGAUAAAACAUUAUUGGAGAAAGGUUAUAAACUGCAUGGUGGUGAGAUAUUUUGAUGCAAUUAUUGAUGGAGAAAAUUCCAGCUGGUUUUGUUUUGUUCCAAUAUCUGAGUUUUUAGGGUCUCUUAAUUUUAGAUAUUUUACGAUGGCGAAAGAACAUUGUUUUGUGAUGCGGUCCUUGUUUGCUAUGUUUGACUUUUUUUUCGAAUGGUAGGGCUAUGUAACUUAGAUUUGGAAAUGGGGAAUGGAUCUUUGCAAAUAUACUUGGCAUCUUACAUAUCCUCUCAUGUAACUUAGAUUCCUUACUAACAAAGCAUUCAAUUCCCCCUUGUUUGCAGAGGUGAGAAAGCAUUUUGCAGCGCCGAGUGCCGUGACAAGCACAUGCGCAGCGACCAUCAUAAAGACAAGUGCAGAUCCGGAGCAUUAAAAUCGCUUGAUUACUCAGCGUCGCCGUGCUCUCGUCCGCUCGUCUUCUUGGCCGGGGUUGAGGUGGCAUGAAAGUUUUCCUAUACCGAACCUAUAUAGUAAAUAAUACAAAAAGGACGGGAAAGGUGAUGGGAAUAAAUUGGGUAUAACCGGGAUAAGACGGUAGAAAAAUACCGGACAGGGUUCAAGCAGGCAGUCUCUACAGUCUACAAUUUAAAUUGCAAGAAUUUUUUUUAUUAGAUUGGACAAGUUGUAUUGAGAAAUUGGCAAGUUAUAUAAUCCGUGGGAGAGACAUUUAUACAAUAAUGUUACUGCUUUUCAAAAGUUUCAGUUGUACAAUGGUAAUUUGGAUUGGAUCAAGUUAGUUAUAAUAUUUAGAUACCAAACUCGCUAUCCAAGGAAGUUGAAUUUGAAACUUUUUAUCUUGAAGGAGAUCGUCCUAGUGUUAGUGAGUAUAGUUUUUGUAUCAUUUUUUGAAACUUUUUUUUUUUUUUUUUUUAAAUAAACCACGCCGCAUUGAAAUAUAAUAUAAAAGAACGAAUUAAAUGAUACGUAAUAUUGAGGCGACCUCAUAUUUUGGCAAGAUCUAAUAGUUUCUGUGAACAUGAUUAGGCCUACUAGUCUAUUUUUUGGGGUCAUUAUUUAUUCUUAUUGAAGACAACAAACCGUCCCUGCCAGGUGAAAUAUCUUGUUUCACGAUACAAGCGUUAUUAGGGGAAUAGGGAGUGGAACACAUAACAUGGAUGAAAUUGAUAGCAAGGAACCAAUCGAGGUACAAAUCUUUUACCAAUUCAAAAAUACUGGUCUAUUCCAAUUGAAUUCCUUUUAAGGAAAACUAACGAAAAUAGCUUGAAAACUUUGAGUUUUAAUCAAAAUAACAAAAAAGUGUUGAAUAGUACCAUUAAUGACUUUUUAGAAUAAACAUGUCAUUUUCGUUAAAAAUGAACAGUACCGGAACAGUAUUGGAAGUGUUUCGUUAAAACUCCUUUUUAAGCCAGAAAACCUACACCAUCACUCAGACUAAUAAAAGUCCAAAUUCCGGCGAAACCCUAAAAAUAACUUCUCAUUCUGCAAAGAUUCAUAUAGUACUGUUUUAUAAUCAUCUUUGAAAGAACAAGACCACAAUUUUUCUUCAUAUAAUACUUAAUCGAACAAGUUUGUGCUAAAUUUGAAUUAUUUUAACGAGGCCAACAAUCUAACAAGUAAUGAAUUGUAUUGGAGUGUAUGAGCAGCAAGUAACUCAGUAAAUAAUCACAUUGAGACUCCGAUGUCGGGAGCUAGCACACUGAUUUUUAUCUAUGAAUCAAGUUCAACUUAGCAUCAGAAGCCAACAAAAUUCAAUAACAAGGAGGCAAGCAAAAACUUGAUGGAGCUCCAAGUAAAAAUCUAGUCCUCAACCUGCCAAAUACAAGUCAAAUGCAACCACUAAAUCAGUUGUUCAAAAACUAACAAUAAUGGAUUAGAAGAUGGAUCUGAAUAACCAUCUUGGUUAAGACGCUGUCAAGUGCCAAUUGGUGACCAUGUUGGAAAUAAUAAGAUUCUCUAUUAAUUUUCUUCUUGGUGUUGGCAGCAGUAAUCAAACUUAAGCCUCAAACAAAUCCCUUAUGCUUGCUUCCCCUUUGACAACACUAAAUUAUCAGCAUUUCCACCCCCACAAAGGCUGUCAACAAGACACGGCUCAUAUACUAACUCUGAUAGAGGAGACAACUUGAAACCACUAGGUCACUUGCGACCACAUAACUUCAUUUCUUUGACACGAAAAAAAUUAAUCCAAAAUCGUGGAAGCUGAAACCAGACGUGACUGAGUUUUAUCCUGAUAUUAGUUUACCCACAUCCCCAUUUUGAUAACACAGAAACGGUGAUACAAAUGGAACACAACUGAAAUAUGACUCCAAAUCACUGCAUAAGUAGUCAUCUAGGUGAAAUGAAUUAUUAAAUGAAGUGCUUUAAUUGAUGUUUCACAGAAUAUGCUUUUCUCAUAGAAUGAAAACACCAAUACUAGGAGCUUUUAUAAACACCAAUACCCAGCUAAAGUUCAUGUGCCUCCAAUCCCCACUAUUAAGUCCACCUGAGCUCUUUUCCUGCUUCUAGUGUGGGACUAUUUCUUCAAACUUCAGACAUCUACCGAGCACAUGAACGGAAUUAUCAUUGUAACUUUUUUCCAUUUCUUUUCUUUGAUUUUACUCUCUGACUACACUCUGAAUUCAGAUAGCAUCUAAUAUAUUCCAUCUAUUAACUUUCCGGCAAAAGCACCUCUAAGAAAAUCUACUUUAUGGCUCCACACACACACACACACCCACCAUUAUAAACAAUUAUAUCUACAAAUGCAUAUCAGAAAGAUUUUCCACCUAGUUUUGUUGAAAACAUAAAUAACCAAGGGCAACAUCUUUCUAUGCCUGGAAAAAGCUUGAGGUUCAACCCUAAAACCAAUUGGCAAUAAGCGGAGUAAUCCCACUCCUUAUAAGACCACACAAAGGACCCUUAACAUUUCGUUGUAGGACAACACUCCACAUCCUCCCCAAGAUCAUAACAAUGAACAAUCUAAAUUAGCAAUUGACUGCUGAAAUUCAUGUCAGAAAAAUGUGAGCUUACUUCUUCUAAUUGCAAUUAUAACCAAAACCCACAUAGAAAAUCAUCGGCCUUGUUAAAACUCACAUAUAAUAACUAUCAAAUGCUAAUCAUUUGUCCUAAUUUUGAGAUUAUUAAGAUGGGUUAUGAUUAGUUCUGAAAAAAUUGAUGAAUUGGUCGGGGGCUACUGCAUAAAACUAUCAGAAAUUCAACCAAAUCACAAACCCAAUCAUAAGAAUAAAAAAAAAAAAAAAAAACAAAAACAAUAAUACCCGAGCGGGAUGAUGAUUCGGGUCUGGUGAUAAAGAACGCUCGAGGUUCACAAGUCUACCUUCAAGAGCAUCAAACUUUUGCUUCACCUACAUAAUCCCCCACAACAAAGAAAAUGAAAACUUGAAAUCAUAUGUUGAGUGUAUGUAUGUGUGUGUGUGUCUAUAUAUAUAUAUAUAUAUAUAUAUAUAUAUAAAGAGAGAGAGAGAGAGAGGUGAGAGAGUUGAUGGGUUACAUACAUCGGAGGAAAGAGCGAAGCGGUCGACGAGAAGAUCUUUCCAGACGAGGUGAGAGAUUGCAGCUCCAGUCUGCGAAAACCCAACACCGAACCAAACCAAACGAGUUCUUAUCAUCUUUCUUUUUGGUUUUCCCAUUUGGGGUUUUGAGAAUCACAGAAAUCUUAGAACCACAAUGUGCUGUUGCUGCUGCUGCUGCCGAACGACAAUCACAAUUCUCUUUUCCUAUACAAUUUAUUAUUUCCAAAUGAAAAAGUUUUAAGAGGCAAAUAACCAACAGAAGUUCUAAUAUGGUUACUCAAAAUUACCAUAAUACUCACGGAUUUUUAUUUUAGGGAGCAAAACUCUAAUUAGACUAAAGUUCAGUGAACAUUAUUUCAAUUUUCUCUUGUUUUUUAUUUAGUUACUUUAUGUCAAAAGUGAAAACAGAAAACAUGACAACUUUUUAGAAUAUGCAUUGCUGAAACACAUUAAAAAUAGAUCUUCACAAUUACAAUGAAAACAACUAACGCAAGACUUCUGUAAGGGUGCGUAAUGCCUGUGAUUAAAAAAAUAUCUCUUACACCCACGUGUGUGCGUGCAGAGUGAUUAGUUUUUAUUUAAAGCCGAAGGAGAAAAUAUUUGAGACAACAUUAUGGACUUGAGAGAAGGGUCUUGGGGGGUUUUCGCCCCUAAUGGGUCGGGCAUCAAGGACAAAAAUCUGAUAUGGUGAGGGUGGGAAGGGCAGGGUACGAAUGACAUUCUAAUUCCAAACCCAAACACGCGCUGCCUACUUGAAUAAGAUUUUUCUCCAAAGACACAACAAAACUAGACAAUAAUUUGCACAAAAUGUGGAAAUAUUAGUGUACCAAGUAAAAUUAAAAACUAAAAACAAUGUUGAAUAGUUUUCUAAAUUUGUUUAGAUUUAGUUUUGUGAUUAUAUAUUUACCAAUUUCCCACCAUCAUUUGCUAGGAUGCCACUCCACCCAACAAGUUUCUAAGGUUGUUUUCAGCCAACCUCCAAAGGAGAGAUAUUUCCAUGUAACCAAAACAUAAGGUCAAUACACUACGUGUCAUAAUAUAAGUAAAUAUAAGUAGAGAGGAUAUAUUUUUCAAUGUCCCUUCACUUGUAUCACCGGCUCGUGUUCUAGGCACAUUGAAAAAAAAAAUCUCCAACAUAAGAAGGAAAUUCAGCAGAAAGUCAAACCCCAAUAUGAUAUUGGGAUUAAACCUAAAUUAUGAAACAAGGAUCUUGCUAAAUAUAAAUAGUAUGCAAAUACACAUAGGGUGAGCAAUACAAGUUUGUACACCCAACUGAAACGCAUGAACAUGUCAAAAUUUCAAAUGAAAUACUCAAAUGCAAGGCAUGCGAAUAAUGUUAUUAGUUCUAAUAAGUAUAAAAAGGACACGGAAUUAUAUAACUCGUACAAAAAAGCGAAAGAUUUGCCGUUUAAAUGUGGUCGACUAGACCAGAUGGUGGCAAUUAGAGAGCCAUCCAUGUAAGCAGAUGCACCAGCUAGUUCUUGGCGGCGGCCGCGGGCACCAAAUGUUGGGGCUGUAGGCACAUGAAAGAGGAAUUAGUAAAUAUGAGAACCCAGAAUGGAAAAUCGAAGGCUCGCCGGUAAAUUUAUGUUCAGGGUUAGACUAGUUUCUUACCGCUUGUAGCUCCUCUUCAUGCUUUGGAAUAAAAGCAGUAUCAACCUUGCCAUUUUUGAAAUCCUCUAUGUCAAGGAUAAGUUUAUGGUAUUCAAUGGUUGUGGGAACCCCUGUGGAACAAAGGCAAUAACUACAUCAACCACCAUUAACAACGAAAAAGGAGUGUUCCACAUUUACAUCGUGAAUUAAAGCAACCUGAAACUCUCAAUAAAACUUUAAAGGUCGUACCCAGUGCACAAGGCUCCCGCUUUACGCAGGGUCUAGGAGAGGUGAAUGUCGGCUAGCCUUACCCCCAUUUAUGGAGAGGCUGCUCCCAAGUCUCGAACCCGAGACCUACCGCUCAUGGGCGAAGGCACUUGCCAUCGCACCAAAUGCGACCUCUUCUCAAUAAAACUUUGACAAAAAAAAAAAAAACACUUGCCCCUUCAGUUCUAUUCACAACACUGCUUAAAUUCAAAUGGCUCACACGAAGUUUCUUCUACAUUAAGUCCAAUUAUGCUGACAUAAAAAUUAAAUAAAAUUGAAUGAUUUCACCAAUUAACUAUAUUAUUAUGUACCCGUUAUAACAGUGUCGUCAAGAGCCCUCUUCAUUCGCUCAAUCGCCUUUUCUCUUGUUGGUGCCCAAACAAUAAGCUACAUCAAGAGAGCAAUAUUGCCAAAGUGAUUAAAAUUUAGAACAAUAAACCUGAAAGCUAUAAUAUAUUGGUGAUGUAUAUGGGCCACAAACCUUUCCAAGAAGGGAAUCAUAGUUUGGAGGAACCACAUAAUCAGGAUAAACAUGGCUAUCCAUUCGAACAAAGGGACCUCCAGAUGGUAAGUAGGCUGUUAUUCUUCCUGUUAAAAAAAGCAGAAGAUUAUGUAUUAAAAACAGAGUGAAUACAUAAUGUCAUUGUUAAACCAGUGCAUGUGCAACCCUAGUAAAAUAAAUGGAAUUCUUGGAGUGCUGAACUAACUUAGAGCCCUAUAUCAUCAGGGUUUGGCUGCAUCACAUAGUACAAUACAGAAUAACAGAAAAAGACCAAAUGUUGCGUAAGUGUCAUGCUGUACUAAGCAAUUAACCAAGGGAACCAGAAUAUAACUAUGUAUACAUACCUGGCCCAGGUCGGAAUCCUUUAAAAGCAUCUUCUGCAUUGAUACGGCAUUCAAUUGAAUGUCCUCUGAGCACUAUAUCUUCCUGUAGAUGGAGCCACCUCCGUCAGACAUUGAACAGAAAGCGUCAAAUAUCUCGAAAACUACACUACUGUAAUUACCUGUGUGUAUCGGAGUUUUUCACCCAUAGCCACAUGAAUUUGUUCUUCAAUCAAGUCAACAGAGGAAAUCAUUUCUGUCACAGGAUGCUCAACCUGUCAUUCCAUUGGCAAAAAUAUUAUAGUUUAGCAUAACUAAGCAAAUUUUUAAUACCAGUCAAAGCCAUCCUCAAAAGAUUAGUUUAACCUGAAUCCGAGUGUUCAUUUCCAUGAAGUAAAAGGAACCUCUUUCGUCCAAAAGGAAUUCAACGGUUCCAACACCAAUGUAGCCAAUUGAUGCUGCUGCUGCAACUGCUGCAUCACCCAUAGCUUUCCGCAGUUCUGGGGUCAAUGCAGGGGAAGGUGCUUCUUCCAGAAGCUUUUGGUUCCUUCUCUGUGAACGUUACAUUCAACAAAUGAAAACAAUUUGGCAGGGGUCAUUGGGCUUUGCAUUUCUUAGAAAUGACUAGAGAAUAAAUGAAUAAUAACUUGAAGACAGCUGUAUUCUAAUAACUAGAAAUAAACUUUCACAGUGAUUCAUGCAACUAAUAAGGCCGGUUAAAGUACCUGGAUGCUGCAAUCCCGCUCUCCAAAGUGAAUAACAUUACCAUAUUUAUCUGCAAGAACCUGUUUUUACAAGGGAUAAAUCAAGAGAUUGCAGGUUUGCGUCAAAUGUCAAAAUGAAUACUACUUAUAAUUCAAAACAUACAAUAUACACCAUAAAAAUCAUCAGGAACUUUUACAAGCACAUUACCUGAAACUCAAUGUGUCUAGGAUUUUGGAUGUACUUUUCCAAAUAAACUCCAUCAUUUCCAAAAGCAGCUGCAGCCUCACUCUUUGCUUGCUGCAAACAAUCAAAUUGAAGCAAAACAAUAAGCCGAUGGAAACAGCAAUGUAAUACAAAAAUAUAAUGCUCAUUUAAGGAUAACAAGACCAACUAAACUAAGAGCCCAACCAUACAAAUUUAUAGUGAAAUUUAUCUGACACAAAACUUAAACAAUAUCUCCAAAAAUGAUCAACGAAACACUUUCGGAGAAGACAAACAAUAAAAGAAGGCAUCAGCAAAGCAACAAAGUAAGAAGACAAUGCAUUGGGUACAGUACCUGCAACAACUUCACAAACUCCUCAGGUUCUUUAGCAAGACGCAUGCCACGUCCUCCACCUCCUGCUGUGGCCUUCAAUAGCAAAACAUGCUUAUCUUUUAACAGAAACAAUAACAGACAAAAAUCUAUAUUGGCUUUCCUUAACUCAGUGUUUGAAAAAAAAUAUUCGAGUUUAUAUGUAACACACUUAUAAUUGAAAUCGUUUAGAAUUGUUUCUGCCAAAUGAUGAAACUCAUCCAAAGAUCAGAGAUAACAGUUAGAACUCAUUAUAGUUAGUAGUUACUAGGAACUAAGCUGCAAACCUAAAUUUCUGUAAGGAACUGCAUGCUUGACUGAAACUCAAAAUUAAAACCUACAAAACUUUUAUUCUAGCUUCAUUGAGUUGGUACAUCUUCAUAGCUUAGCAUUAUAGCAAGGAAAUUGGGUAGCGUACUAGCAUCAAACAGAUACAAUUCAUGAGCAGCUAUUCUAUGCAAUAGGCAUGUGUUCCUCUAAAUUAAUUUUCUAUGUUAACACUAAAAGGUCUGCACUGUAAAUUCUAGGACAUAGCGGGGUAUAAUGAGUUUUAAUUAUCAUGAGACAUAAUAAGACAAGAUACUUUACCUUGAUCAUUACAGGAAAACCAAUCUCAUCUGCAAGCCUGAUUCCUUCCUCUGUGCUCUGUAAAGGAAAAAAAGAGAGUACAAUCAAGGAAAUAUUAAUUUUUAUGACCACCUAGUUCAGGAGGCGUUGAAACUUAUAAUACCUAAGGUUAAAGUACAUACCUGUAGUAAUCCAUCACUUCCAGGUACAGUUGGGACACCUGCUUUCUUCAUUGUGUCUCUGGCAGUAGAUUUAUCACCCAUAACACGGAUGCUCUCGGGCUGCAAAUUGUAAUCAUAAUUUCAAACAUUUGUCCCACAUGAGAACAUGAAUUAACUAAUAAGAGACUAAAUAUAGAGCCAAGUGCUUCAUUACUAUUCACUCUAAGAUGUAUGGAACAAGUGCAAUAUAAUGUAUAAAACCAAAUAAAAUACAACUAAAGAAAAAAAAAAUUAUAUAUAUAUAUGUGUGUGUGUGUGUGUGUGUGUAUCAUUUCUGUCUAAGGGAAAAAAUAAUUUUUUCCAAGUUGAAAAUUAUAUUCAUUAAUCACCAAAAAGCUAGCUAAUAAAUCAAUCUAAUAUAUCGCAUGAACUUAUCACAGAAAUGUUCUCUUGGUCACUAACCCUUGGAAUUGAUAUCAAGGGUUGAGAUUAAAACAUUAAAAGCACAUCCAAUUUAUUAUCCACCCUUGAUAUAUAGUCCAUUGGUACAACAACAACAACAACAACAACAAAGCCUUUUCCCACUAAGUGGGGUCAGCUAUAUGAAUCCUAGAACGCCAUUGCGCUCGGUUUUGUGUCAUGUCCUCCGUUAGAUCCAAGUACUCUAAGUCUUUUCUUAGGGUCUCUUCCAAAGUUUUCCUAGGUCUUCCUCUACCCCUUUGGCCUCGAACCUCUGUCCCGUAGUCACAUCUUCGAACCGGAGCGUCAGUAGGCCUUCUUUGCGCAUGUCCAAACCACCGUAACCGAUUUUCUCUCAUCUUUCCUUCAACUUCGGCUACUCCUACUUCACCUCGGAUAUCCUCAUUCCCAAUCUUAUCCUUUCUCGUGUGCCCACACAUCCCACGAAGCAUCCUUAUCUCCGCUACACCCAUUUUGUGUACGUGUUGAUGCUUCACCGCCCAACAUUCUGUGCCAUACAACAUCGCUGGCCUUAUUGCCGUCCUAUAAAAUUUUCCCUUGAGCUUCAGUGGCCUACGACGGUCACACAACACGCCGGAUGCACUCUUACACUUCAUCCAUCCAGCUUGUAUUUUAUGGUUGAGAUCUCCAUCUAAUUCUCCAUUCUCUUGCAAGAUAGAUCCUAAGUAGCGAAAACGGUCGCUUUUUGUGAUCUUCGCUAGAUUGCUCCGGUCAUUAGUGUGGAUAAGUAUAUAAAUGGAUAGAGAUAGGAAAGCAAACACCAGAUGUACGUGGUUCACCCAUAUUGGCUACGUCCACGGAAUAGAGGAGUUCUCAUUAAUUGUGAAGGGUUUACACAAGUACAUAGGUUCAAGCUCUCCUUUAGUGAGUACAAGUGAAUGAUUUAGUACAAAUGACAUUAGGAAAUAUUGUGGGAGAAUGAUCUCGUAAUCACGAAACUUCUAAGUACCGGCGUGUGGUAUCGUCUUGACUUGCCUUAGGUAGAUGUGGCAUCUUCUCUGGAAGUACUCUUCCUCCAUCCAGGGGUGGUAUCUUUAACUAGUGGAGAUGCACAAGGUAAUGUAUCAAUUUCACUUGAAGCUUACUUGUAGUUUCAGGCUUGGUCAAGCGCGAUACAAACCAUGUAGUAGGAGUCCCCCAAGUCGCCGAGCUAGAGGAUCUGCUGAAAGAGGUGACAGACAAGGUAAGCAAUCAGAGCUCCAAGCAAUCAGUCCCAGAUCAGAACUUUGAUUUCGAGUUCCGGCUGAUUGUUCACAUUCUCCCUAUCUUGCGGCAGCAUGAAGGAUAAAGAGAAGAAAAAUGAGAAGAGAUGAUAUGGGAUACUUUUGCUUUUGAAGAAGUAACUUUCCACAGGCUUAUUUUUGAACUGGGCUGGAGGGUUUUCUGGUUUCCUCCAGAGUAUAAGGCCGACUGAAGAAUUUGAGGGUCAAAACAAGUCCAUCAAAUCUAUAGUACGUUCGACCCUGCUGAUAUGGGAUACUUUUGCUUUUGACAGAGUAGUGGAUGUAUCGGCACGUGUGCUGUUACACUUGUCUCCACAUGCUUCCUUGUAUCCUUCUCACUUGCCUAUCUCUGUUCCUCAAGGCAGAUGCGGUAUCUUCCCUGGAAGCAUAAGAUGUUGAAGAUGAGUACUCGAGAGCAAUGCCAGGUAAGUAAUAAUCAAGUAAGGGGUUCCAGGCAGUCAGAUUCCUGACUGGAAGCUUGAUUCCAAGUGCUGACUGAUUGCUCUCUUUCUCCUUGUCUUGCAGGUAAGAACAAGGCCAAAGGAAAAGACAGGGAAAAAAGCAUGAUAUGGGAUACUCUUGCUUUUAACCCUGAUGAUAUGAGAUAUUCUUGCUCUAGUAUAGCUUGUUUGCAGAGGUAUUAUCAGGGGGAAAGAAAGCUGAAUAUUUCGAAAGGCUUCUUUGGGAGUGCCCUCUCAGAUAUAUGAGGAAGGGUUGAGCAUUUUUGCAGGUCUGCCUGUCCGUUGGGGAUGGAGGUCGACAUAUAUAGGAGUCUCCCUCCUAACAACAAGUAGUAAUGCUAUUCCUUUACCCUGCUUGGUCAUAGCACGGUAGUAGUGGGAGCUGCCAGCUUCACAUGUUUUAACUCUGUCAGAGCACUUUGAAAAAGUGAUCUGUGGUAUCUGGAAAGCUGAUGUUGCGUGUGAAGAUUACAGACAAGCUUUAUCCAAGGAGAUCCGGCUCUUGAAGUUGGGAAAGUGGUGCCUCUUCGGUUUUCGAACAAGCAAUCCUGUCGGAGAUCUGGCUCUCGAGAGAUUCGGAGAACGAUGCCUUUUUCGAUUUUUUGAGAAAGCAAUCCUGCUAAGGGUCUGGCUCUCGAGAUUCGGAGAGCGGUGUCUCUUCGAUUUUUGAGAAAGUAAUCAUGUUGGGAGUCUGGCUCUCGAGAUUCGGAGGGCGAUGCCUCUUCGAUUUUGGAGCAAGCAAUCUUGUUGGGAGUGUUUUCUCGAAUGUGAGAAAAGGUUGGGCAUGUUUGCUAGUCUACCUUGCCACGAAGCACAGAGGUUGACACACAGGGACUUUCCAAUUAUCCAGCAGUGGAACUGUUCCUUUACCCUUGUGGGUAAUAAUAUGGUAGCUAGACCUUCAAAAUUUAUGUGUCUAAACUUUGUUAGUGCUGUUUCUUUGCUAUUCUUUUACCCUUCUUGGUCAGAGCGAUGUAGUGGGAGCUGCAAGCUUCACGUGUCUCAACUUUGUCAGAGAACUUUGGCAAAGUUAUCUGUGGUACCCAUGAGCUAAUGUUGCGUGUGGGAAGUGGGUGAUUGAACAGUAAGAUUCAUGUGCUUUCUACUUCACCAGAAAUCUUCGACAUAAUGCCCAUGAUUUCCGCAAAGCUGAGUGUGCGUGUGACAGGUGCUGACAAGGCUAGAAAAGUAGGUGCCUCUAGGAUUUCUGAGAUCGGCCCUCGUGGUCUCUGAGCAGCCCAGCUUUUGAGAAAGCAAGCGCCUCUUCGAUUUCUAAGAUCGGCCUUCGUGGUCUUUGAGCAGCCCAACUUUUGAGAAAGCAAACAUCUCGUGGUCUCUGAGCAGCCCAGCUUUUGAGAAAGCAAACGCCUCUUCGAUUUCUGAAGCUCCGUCGAGUGCAGAUUUUUAUAGAGGCUGGCAUUAAGUUCCAAAGCACACUUGAAUCUCCACCAGUAGAAGCUCCAUUCUUGCACUUCUAAGAUCUUGAUUUGUCCGACCUCUUCUCUCUUCAACACCUUUAAAAAUGUCUGGCCCUUCCGACCAUCGUUUUGACUUGAACCUUGUUGAAGAGGCAGCCACGCCUUCUCCAGACAACAUAUGGCACCCAUCCUUCGUCUCCCCUACUGGUCCUCUUACCGUUGGGGAUUCCGUGAUGAAGAAUGAUAUGACCGCUGCGGUAGUGGCCAGGAACCUUCUCACUCCCAAAGAUAACAGACUACUUUCCAAACGGUCUGAUGAGUUGGCUGUUAAGGAUUCUCUGGCUCUCAGUGUUCAGUGUGCAGGUUCUGUGUCUAACAUGGCCCAACGUCUAUUUGCUCGAACCCGCCAAGUUGAAUCAUUGGCGGCUGAAGUGAUGAGUCUCAAACAGGAGAUUAGAGGGCUCAAGCAUGAGAAUAAACAGUUGCACUGGCUCGCACAUGACUAUGCUACAAACAUGAAGAGGAAGCUUGACCAGAUGAAGGAAUCUGAUGAUCAGGUUUUACUUGAUCAUCAGAGGUUUGUGGGUUUGUUCCAAAGGCAUUUAUUGCCUUCGUCUUCUAGGGCUGUACCGCGUAAUGAAGCUCCAAAUGAUCAACCUCUGCUGCCUCCUCCUUCUAGGGUUCUGUCCAGUACUGAGGCUCCAAAUGAUCCCCC